AAUCGCUUCCGCAAAAAGGUACGAACGAAUACUUCCGCUGCGUUCUACAAUCUCAAAGGAUCGCAAGCAGAGCGUGGAUGGUGCUUAAAGAAAGUGUGAUGGGAUAAUUUUUCUUUUCUUUUCAUAAGUUAAUAUAUUGUGCAGAUCACAAUGGUUUGGCUGAGUUAUAAUUUUUUUUUUUUUUUGUCCAAUCUCAUUGGAAGAUGGAGAAGCAUAUCUUUGUAUGCCUCUGCUCCAACUUCUUUGGGCCUAUAGUGUUUGGUGGCCCUCACUACCAACAGGCCCUAAGUCAAGUCCAAUUGAUAGUAUUCUUCAUAUUGCCUUUUCCAUUGAUGGUUGGUACAUUUGUAUAUAUGUGUGUUAACAUGCAUGUAUGUAUCUGCAUAUAUGUUUCAUACAUGUGUCCUAGGAGAAUUUAGUUUCCACAUAAGCGCAAUAUUCAAAUACCUGAACCAGCAUUCUCCAUAUGCUCCAGUUUCUUUUAGUUUUCUUAUCUAUGUUUUCAUAAUUCGAUGCAUCUAGAAAACUCUGUCGUCUUGGCAGAGUAGUGAGUUAUUGGAGAUCUUAAGUGGGUGCAAUGGCGGGACAAAUUAUUCCAUCCCUUGGUCGAGUGAGGCUUGCCGAUCUCGUUGCUUGUGAGGGGCUUCCUUCUGAUUCUUACAAGAUCUCACUAACCACUCUAACACAGUCUCUUGCUCAAUAUUGAGCUGCAAUUGUUCAAUUGCCGUCUAGCGACGGUGCUCUGGUAAGGUCUGGUUUGGAGUCAGCUCGUCUCUUUUUCCAUCAACAUUCGUACCCUUGGGGCGAGAUGGUUCAUACAAACGACUCUCGAGAGUGGUGCAAGACCUCAUGUUACUAUACAGACCCUCAACUUUGGCUAGAAACAUACGACUACAGGCCUGGUCUUAUUCCAACAGAGCCCAGUGGUGCUAUGGAAUUUCCCCCGGCUGGUCUGCCUGACAUAUUUGCAGUGGUCGGGAAAGUCGCUCGAGAUAUUCUGGGAUGCUAUUAGCUUUUCUCUGAAUCUACGUAGCUUUUCAUUUACUGAAAUACUAGACAACUUGCCUUUGAGGAACAGAGAAAUAUCCUCUUCAGUUCUUUCGGUAUGCUGCCACUCGAGGCCUUCUUUCCAAGAAGCGCAGCAUCACAGCCUUGCAGCACAGGAGGAUGGACAAUUGGUGAUGUUCCAAGAUCAUGAGCAUCAGUUUGAUAAGACAUUAAUCGCCAUAGUCAAGGCAGAUCGGGCGGGUUUGCAUAUAAAGGACUUCACUUCAACGGGCGCUGGAUACUUGCAGAUGGGGAUUUAGGCCCUCAAGAUGCCGUCGUCUACCCUGGACUCGCUCUUUAUCAGGCGACUGCUGGUUAUGUCAAAACGGCUAUGUAUAGAACGGAGAUAGGCAACUUGCAGGGGAAACAUAUAUGGACGGGUGCUCUUUGGCUUUCAAGCUCAUACCGAGAUCCAUGGCGAGUUUAUGCUGCUCAGAGAUGAGGGCGGCUGGCCAUGGUGUUGAGGCCCAAUUCCAGAUUCCCGUACCAGUGGAUGACUUCAUGCAGAGAUCACACCCAACUGACCUGCUCUUCACCAAGAGCAAUUUGCCGACUCAUACAUUCCACACGGGACAAGAUGGUAUAUAUCUACUACGCCCUAGUAUAGUUUUUCCUUUCUUUCCUCAAUUUAUUUACAUAGUCUAAUUGUUUCUCCUAGUUGAUUCUUUCUAAAAAGUUUUAUUUAUUUAUUUAUUUAUUUUUGCAGCUUCUUUUAAACAGCCUUUUGAUGAAGAGGAAGAAGAGCAGUGCAAGGACCAAGCCUCUGCCCCCAUCCAAAAGAUUGCGUCUCGAGGCUCAAAAGGGUUUUAAAGGAGCGGGUUCAGGAGAUUGCAGACAAGAAAGGCAUCAAGCUGAGAUUUUGUAAUCUCAAGGAAUGUAAUCUCAAAUAUAUUGUUUACUUAUUGUAGAACGCAGCGGAAGUAUUCGUUCGUACCUUUUUGCGGAAGCGAUUCGCGCUAGAGCGCGAUGAGCCCGGAUCGUAGAGGUUGGUUCACGUGUCCUUGGAUCGUCCUUGAAAAUCUUCUUGCGCUCCGAACUUGCGGUGGAUCGAACUACAAACGAGCACGAUCGCAAAUCCACCGUUCAAAUCCCUCUAGAAUAAUAGGUCAAUGGAGGAUGUGGUUUCUCUCUAUUAUUUUCUUAUUCUCUCUCUUUUUUCGUUCCUUUUUGUACAUCGUUUCAUGUGGGAUCGCCCGUCUAUUUAUAAGGAAUUCCAAAAUCCUAAUAGCGUUAGAGAUAAGGCCAAAUCGGUUAUUAUUUGUUAUCCUAAUAUGAUUAGAUUUAUCUCUAAUUAGCUUUCCAAUUUGAAAGCGAGAUUAAUCCUAAUCCAAUUAGAUAUAAUAUCCGUCGGAUCGAACCCGUUUAUGGGCGUACCCGAUUUGAUUUAACCGAAUGCCAACACUUAUAACUCACCUAGUCAUACUUUGGUGCAUGCUUUUCUGUUUACUAAUACACCACAGUUAUUAUGUAAGUAGUUGUCGCGCAAGCGGUACCUUUUUUCUUCUGUUUCCUUUUUCUUACAAUUUCGGCAAACCUAAUUUUGCUGUUAGCUCAUAACAAUCAUGUCGUAAAAAUUAAAGCCCUUUAUGUUGCAAAUUUCCUCAUUGUGAAUUACAAUAAACGCACAUCAUUUUGUCCGGUUUCUAUGAAUAAUUGAUAGUAUGCAUGCAUCAGUAGCAUAAUAUUAUAUUCUUAACACCAACAUAAUGUGCCUUCCAAAUGCUUUAUUUUUCUGUGCAGGAGUCAAUCCCUGUGACUUUCGAUAUUUGGCCAUCCUCUGUCGGCUUGUGACUUGACGAACUCCGCUAGCAGCUUGAUCUCCUCUUCUUGCAGCCGUGGCCCGAAUGUGCACUGACCCCUUGGAGUGCACUUUUCCCCGAAGCCCUGAACAUGCUAUCAGCAGUCAAUACUUAUCAACCAUGCCACUGCAGGCGCUAAUAUGAAGAGGUUGCUUUCGAUUUAGUUGUAAAUAGUUGAAAAGGAAGAUGAUAAGGUUACUCACGGGCAUCCGUCCUUUCCCAUAGUACGUGAUGUUGUAUAUUCCCUCCUCCGUAGAUACUCCGUUCCUGCAUGAGAUUACAUUUCUCUGUCUUUCAGUUUAUUGUUACAUAUUCACAUUGACGAAUGGUCUUUUAGAGUGGAGCGAGCAAUGGGUGCUUUAUUUUGUACCUCUGUAGGUCCUUCAUGAAGAGAGUCGCAUCCUGAGGCAAAUUUUGAGGGAUGAGCAAUAAGUUUAGUAGUAAUAAAAGCGGUAAAAUGCUUUUUCUUCCCUCUUUGCAUGUGAAAUAGUGGAGUUCAGAGGAGACUGACAGGUUGGAGAAUGUUUCCUCCCAUAUCAUGGCAGCCAAUGCAGGCUUUCUGAAACAAUCUUGCUCCACUGGAUAUAGUCUGGCUUAAGGAUUCUGCGGCAAAGAGAGUCGGAGACAUGUUGCAGUUGGUUAUUCUCUUUUUGGUGGUUAUUUGGGUGUUUGUUGUCAUAGAAUAAUACUCAUCAUUGGUCUGAAAUGUAUUUGUUAUACCUUUAGCAUGCCGACGUUGUGACUUAGCUUUUGAACUUUUUUGUUUUAUAGACACUUCAGUUCCUGAACUUUUUCAUGUAUUCCUAUUUCAUCUCUGACCAUCAAGAAAAAUCCAGGGGUUUCUAGUAAAAAUGACGAUUUAAUUUUUAUUCCUCCUAUAAUUUUUCUUUUCUUUUCUUUCCUUUUCUUUUCUUCUUCUUUUUUCCCCCCCAAGGUGCUUAAAAUUGGAUUAAAGAGGUGAUUAGAUUAUACGAACCAACUUUGGAUUUUGGUAAGCUGUCAUGCAUGAUGAAAUUGUAAUAUAUGAGAAAAUUUAAGAACUGAAAUAUAGUUUUGGUAAGCUGUCAUCAUGAUAUUAUCGGCAUAGCACAGGAACCCUGGAUCUGUACAUUUUUCUAACUUAAUUAUGUGCGAUAGUAUGACUUCCAAGUUCCCUUCUAUGUGAUUUCCUGGAAGGAAUACAUUUCCUACUCUGCAGUCUCUGUUCGCGGCUGUGCCUAGGUGAGCCAUGAUAUUUUAUUUAAUAAAUUUGACGUGGUAUUUUGUAUAAUAAUACACAUAAUUCUGUUAAUAUUUUAUAUGGUUGGAUUACUAUACUCUUACGAGUAUAAACUCAUAUGUCGCCUUUAAAUGACGAUUCAUGCUAUUAACAUGAUCUAGAGUAUUUGAAACUUUACAAGAUAAGUUAUGUAAUUUUUGAAAUUAUAAUGCAGUCCAUUAAGCGAACACAAAACGAAUGGCAAGAUCGAAUAACCUUCUAAAAUUAGAGGAUCGAAUUAUUCAAUUUAAAAUCAGAGUUAAUGAUUUUUAUCUAAAUAAUGAGUAGAAUUUUCUAUCAAAAAUUCUAGCUGAUUUUGAUUCUUUUGUACCGUUAAACUCAAAAGUAUCUCAUACCAGCGGUUUGGUAAAUGAUAUCGAAAAAUUAUAAAAUUUACUUUAUAAAAAUUUUAAAUAUUUUAAAGUAUAUUUAAUAGCAUGAAUUGUCAAUUAGAAAGUUUUAUCGCCGAGAAACGGCCACUGAGAGUACCAAGAUGACCGUACUUAUCAGAGUAUAGUAAUGGAUCUCAUAUUUUAUAUUUUAUAAUAAUAUCAUGCAUUCUUUUCCUGGUAGAGUACAUUGGAAUGGUACAAGAAGAUCAAGGAUUUUGUUGGAGACGCCCUUCGCAUGAUGCCUUAAACGAUAAUAAAUAAUUUUCUUAAAUAAGCACUAAAUAAUUAUCAAACUUUGAAAUGAUCAGUUUUCCUUAUUCACCGCUGUCGUUCACAGGGGAAUAAAUUAGAAAUCAUUUUUGGAUGCUUUUUUAAUAUGCAAAUAUAUGUCGAAAAAUGAGGAGGACCCUCUUUACACUUACUAGUAUCUUUACACCAAAAAAGAAGGGUAUAAAUCUUAAAUCUCCUCAUCCAGGGGUUAGAAAAAUUUUCAAAUAUUUACUAUAUAAAAAAAAGGACAAGGCAAGGCCCAAUAUAUAUGGGCAUUUUGAUGUGCGAUGUAAGAUUUACACUUUUUUUAGGUGUACAAAUAGUAUUGCUCUUCAAAAAUAGGCUCUCAAACUUUAUUAUUUUAGUGACAUUCUUAAAAUAAAAAUAAUUUAAUUUGAGUCAACAAUCAAUCAUUUGAAUUAGGAAUUUUACUAAACAUGACAAUACAGCUAGCUCACGAGCAUUAAUUGUUAAUGAAAAUAACAUUUCAUUUGUUAUAAACUGGCUUAGCGGCUAAACUUACGGAUGUAGCUAUCAGAUUAUUGUGAAAUAUGUCAUUUAUGGUCGAGUACAAUUUAAACGAUAAUAAUGAAAUAGUGGAAAGAUAUCAAUCAAAUCAAUGAUGAUAAGAGGCAUUUCCAGAGAGGAUUUUUUUUUUUUUCCUUCCAAUAAUUAAUUUUAUUUUAUUUUUUUUUAAGCUAGCACUUGAAUCCCUCCGUAAGAACCCUUCUAAAUGAGUCUCUUGAUAAUAUUGUCCCAAUAUGCUGCGCUUAAAAAGUUCUGUUAGUAAAUGCAGGGGAAUCAAAUUAAUUUCUAGCUGUUUUAGUUGGUAAACGGCUAGAUACUAGAUAACUGCACUAGGGCUGGCAAAUGAGCAAGCUGGCUCGCGUUCGACUCGCAUUCGACUCGAUAUUUGGCGAGUUCGAGCUCGAUUCGAAAUUAAAUAAGCCAAGCUUGAACCAAAAAAAAGGCUCGAAAUUCAUUUCAAGCCGAGCUUGAUUAUUAUUCAGCUCGUUCGAAUUAGGCUCGAAAUGCUCGAAAAGCUCGAAUAUAUAUAUAUACUAUACUAUCGAAAGUAUAGAGAAUAUGGUGCUUUCGAUUUUUUGAUUCUUAGAUCAACCCCUUUAAUCAUUUCUUUGAAUUAAUACUAUUAUUAUCUUGUAUGGACCACUCAAUCCUAAGGAUAUUAUUUAAUCCUAGGGGGGACCGCAAUCAUCCUAACCAUACAAUUCUUAAUCAAAGGAUCAAAAAUNAAAUUUAAAAUUUAAAAUUUAAAUUUGAAGUUUAAAAAUUUAAAAUUUAAAAUUUAAAAAUUUAAAUUUGAAAAUUAAAAAUUAAAAAGUAAAAGUUGACAAUUCGAAAUUUUAAAUUAAAUUUUUUAAAAUAAUAUAUUGAAAGGGUUUCGAGAGUUAGAGGGUAAAAUUGUCAUUUUACAUAAUAUGUAGUAUUAACGGUUUUCAGUAAUGCAAGAUACACGACCCCUCUCUCAUUUAUAUUUUCGGUGUAAUUCUGCUCGAUUUGUAAUGCUACAUUAACGACUAGAUUACAUAGCGGAUGAACCAAAUACAGUAAUCCUGGCAGGAUUGCCUUAAAUUCUGCCAGGAUAACUCGAACCAAACGCACCCUUAAAGGUAUAGAACGCUUUGUCCUCAUAAAUUAUUUUCAAUGAUGGAACUUCCGAAUCGACAAUCCACGCCAUCAAAUAUGAUCUAAAGCAUUUGGAACUUUUAAAAAAUGAGUUUCGUAAUUUUUCGAAAUUAUAAUAAAGUCUAUCAAGUGGGCAAAAAAUAAUUGGUCAAAAUUGAACGAGCUCCUAAAAAUGAAUGAUCGCAUUCUUCAAUUUAAGAUUGAAAUUAUUGCCCUUUAUCUACAUAGUGAAUAGAUUUUUCUAUCAAAAUUUUAAUCAAUUUCAANCUUUACUUAAAGCUCGGAAAAAAAAACAAGUUCGAGCCGAGUAAAUUAAAGCUUAGCUCGAGCUCGCUCGGUUUAUAGCUCAGCUUGCGCUCAGCUUGCGAUUCGGCCGAGUGAGUAAACGGUCGGGAUCGUCAUUCCCAUAAAAAUUCAAUAUCUAAUAGAAAAGGACCUCUACAUCUCCUUCCCUUAUACGUUUCUUUUCCCAAACCGCGGAGAGAGAGAGAGAGAGAGAGAGAGAGAGAGAGAGAGCUAGAGAGCUAGAGAGAGUUGAUUCGACCGACUAGGUUUUCUAUUUUGAUCAACGACUUAUGAGUUACGUGACAAGUUGUGCGAACGAAACGUUUCAUCAUUACACUCGUUCAAAACUCAACAGACACACGAGAAUUGUUGUAAGUUUUCAAUUCUCCCUCUUUCUCAACUCGAUAUAAACGUUUAAAUCGCUCGAUCUAAGCCCGUCUGCAUAUUAACUUUCUUUCUCCAGGGGUGGUUUUACCGUGGAAGGGGUUGUGAGUAUGAUAGUUGUCAGGUCCCAAAAUCCAUAAUACUAGAAGAAAGACUACAAACCCAUAACUUUAGUUGUUAGGUCAUUAAAAAUUCGAAAAUUAGUAGUAAAGCAUUAAUUUAGCACAGUUUUAUAUUAUGUCUUAUUUACCACUUUUAAUUUGUAAAAGAAAAUUUUUUUAACUUCUAUCCUCGUAUCCUGAGAUUAAAUUCUAGUUCCUGCAAGUGGAUUAGAGAGAGUGGGUUCUCAUUGGCCGCUUUGUUGAAGAAAUCACCAUUUAUAAUAUGUUACCAACAUGUUACAAGCGAAUAUGAAAAGUGUAAAUGCCCAUUUAUAAUGUGCUAUCAUAAUGCUACAAGUGUAUUUGAAAAGCGUAAAUUGUCGUAGCCGAUCAUUUAUGAUAUGUUAUACGUGUUCAAUCCGUAAUUGUAUGUUGCGUAAAAAAAACAAGAAACUGUAAAUGUCGUGUGUUAAGACUGUAAAAGAAGAACUGUAAAUGCUGUUUUUAAGUAUUUUUGAAGUGGUGUGGUAUUUUAUAAACGAUUGUUUCAUAUAUUCUUAACUGUUGUCACAUUUGUUUGGUACAAAGUUUACUUUAUUCCAACACCCUUGUGUUAGUAAAGGGUGCAGGUAAUAGUGAAUAAUUUACAAUCUUGUUCUAUUAAUUCGCUUUUCUUUUGGUCAUAGACUCUAAAAUAAUACUUAUGUAUAUGACGUCAGCAGAAGUGAAGUUUCCCAUCAAUUUAUCGAUCGGUUCGUGAGUUGUUUGUUAAUGUUAUCCCUACUAGCCGGCCGAGUACGUUCUAUUCUUUAAUAAAAUGCUAGAUUAACGUCGAGGUCUCCUAUACUAGAGUGUCAAUGUUUGAAAGUGAUUUGUCCGUAUUGUCAUUGUUAAUGUUUUUAUCAAUAAUCUAGAGAAGUUUCUUUAGUUUGACUGAAAAUCUGAUUUACGUAGGAGUUUACGUAAUAUCCUUAUGAUAUAUACUGUUUGAAAGUAUACUAAGUCACAUUCUGUAGAGCUACUUAUUUACAUAUCCUUACCUCACGUUCUAAAACUUCGAAAAAUUACUACACGUUACUCCUAGAUGUCGUAAGUUGUGACAUAAUCAACCUUUCUCGACAGUAAUCGAGUUUCUUUGUCCAUCCGAAAACGUAUAAUUACUGGUGUUUACACAAAGUCAAGAGACUUCUGGAACGAAAUUGUUUUGUCUAAAAAAAUAAAAAAAUAAAAAAAAAAAACAACGAACAAGAAGGAAACCCGGCACAACGGGGUGAGAACAUCGAAUUAAAUAGUCAAAUUACUUACUUCGCCCAUCGCACGAUGUAAAAAGAGUUUUUUGUUUUGUCUAUUGAAGGUGUCUUAUUAUUUUAGAUAAUUUAUAUUACUUAACCGUCAACCUUUGACUGUACCUCGGGGGUGGAAAUGAACUCAAAACACCCCGGAUAUAAAUCCCAUUUAAUGUGGCUAUCAGGGACCGUAAAGAACUAAAAAUUUAACCCAGGAGAUAUAAAACAUUAACUCAAAAAUUAAACAUUUAAUAAAAAUUGACCCUAGAGGUGACGACUAGAAGAUGAUAUUAACUUGUCUUCAGCUGUACAUCCAUGACUGAAUCGUGACUUAACCACAUUAAAAAAUCCAAUCAUCUUGUUAACCAAGAGUUUAGAAAAAAGUUUAAAAGUUAACCCAGGCUUUAGAAAAAAAAAAACGGUAAAUUUUUAAAAUUAAAAAAUAAAUUUGAAAAUAUGGAUAACACUUUGUUGGCAACAUGAGAUUUUCGAAAUUAUACGAUCCUCGGACCGCACUGAGCUUGAGUCCUGGAGGACGAGACUAUGGUACACUUUGUUGGCAACAUGAGAUAGUGAGGGGGAGUGCAGACCCGAGCUUUGAAAAAUUAGCCGGGUACUGCACCCGAACUUAAUUUACCCUCCUUUAAUUAUACGAUCCUCAGACCGCACUGAGCUUGAGUCUUGGAGGAUAAAACUAUGGUACACUUUGUUGGCAACGUGAGAUUUUCGAAUUCGAAUUAUAAAAAUAUAAAUUGUGGAUAAAUCCGUUUUCACCAAUUGUUUAAAUUACUGAGAUAAUCAGAUUGUAAAUUAACUAUAUAAAAUUAAUUAUUUUUUAUUAAUUUUACUAGUUUAACUUAUUUUAAUAACCCCCUAAAAACAAUUUAAGAAAAAAAAAAAAAUGACAAUAGUAAAAUUUAGGUUUUUGAGUUUUUUCAUUUUUCCCAAGUUGUUUUUUCUUUCCUUACGAUUAACAUGAAGAUUAAAUAGAUAGAUUUUCGGAUAUGAACUAUGAAGAUUUAGUAUCCUACUCAUCCAAAUUCUAUAUGUUGGGGUAAAAACUCACAUGUCUAUCAUAAAAAAUAUUAUUCUUCAUAAUUUCAACUUUCCCAGUUAACUAUUUUUUUCCAAAUCUCUAAAUAAACUUUCUUCCAACCCUAAAUUAGUCAAUUUUUUUUCAAAUCUCUGAAUUUACUUUUAAGUUUUUUUUUCAUCCUUGGUUAACAUGAUGAUUAGGUUUGUUAAUACGGUUAAGGGGAGAGAGAGAGAGAAACGUCAGCAAACUUUUUUUGUAACCGUUUACUUGUUGUUUUACUCUGUCAUUUAUAUGAAAAACGAGAUAAUCAUACGAGUAAAGAAAAGAAGAUAACAAUAAUAAUAAAAACAAAACGAAAAAAAAAAAAGAAAAUAGCCUAAAGAAUUACAACAACGAGAACGAUCGAGAAGAAAUUGAAGAAAAAAAAAUUUUUUUUAAAAGAAUAUGAAAAAGAUGGUAAUAUCUAUAUUAAAUAAUAAAAAUAUUAAAACAGGAAAAAAAAUAUGAAAGUAAAAAUACAAAAAUGAUAUCAUACACGAUGAAAAAGAAAUCGGAGAAAAUAAAGAUAAAAAAUUUAAAAGAAAAUCAAAUAAAUAAAUAAAUAAAUAAAUAAAGAUACGUUAUUUAGGCGGCGUUGCGCGCUCAUGGAAGCGAUCAAUAUAGUUAUUAUCUUUUUAUUAUUUAAUUGUUCCCUCUUAUUAGUAGGGUCAUAACCUACAGACGUCAAGUGUCUUAAAACGACCGUAAAAUUACACCGAGUAUUCUAUCUAUGGUGCUAACAGUCCUUUUUUUAUUGGUUUUUAAUGACUUACCUUUUAGACUAACCUCCCAUUUUACUUUAUACAUACCUAUCAGAGACAUGAUAGUCCCAUCACACUGUACCACCAGAAACAUAUUAAACGAUUCUACAAACAGGGACUUGAACUUUAUAGGGCGUGGAUUUAAGAACCAUUUUCAAGUCUCUGAUUUAAAAUAGGUUCACGUGUUCAUAUCCUCUUGUUCGAUGCGUGUAGUAGCCUCAGUCUCAGUCUCAUCAUGGCCCCGAUAGGUAUGCGAAAACUUCCAAGAGAGCCUGGCGUUUCAGGGAUAGCCAUACGGUUUUUAAAGUUGUGCUAGCUAGUUGGUUUGUUUGUCGCUACCAAGUUUUAUAACUGGGUGAAUUUGACUUUUUUCUCACAUUGAUUGCUUCCCUUCAUCUAAUAAUAAUAGAAAGUCCACAACGAGUUGUUAUACUUUAACCGGUCUGUGCUUAAACGUUAAGCUGUCAGCUUCCAAAACGUCUGAUAACAUCCUCCGUGUAAGUUCCCGGACUUCCGUCAGCAUCAGCAUGAAAACACGCUCCGAGAGGCGAGGCAACCUGUUUUUUCGUCUUUAGAGAACCCCACGAACGCCGGUGGGAAGUUUUUGGAGUACAUCCCUUAUGGUUGAUCCACAAGCCGGUUGGAAAACCCGGCUUUCAUAAAACAAAAAAAACCCGACUUAUCUCGCAAAUUAUUACGCAAAUUAUUAGAGCAAAAAUUUUAAACCGAGAGACUAAAAGCUCUAAUUUUUAAUUUUUAUCGAUAUUUUGGACGAAGAAUUUUAGAGUAGUAAUACUAAAACCUGAGUUUAAAAUCAAAAAAAUAAAACUAAAAUCUAAGUCUUAAAUUUAACUUUAACUUUAAAUUUAAAUUUAAAUUUAAAGUUAAAGUUAAAUUUAAAUUUUAAAAUUUUAAACGUGUUUUUAAUUUUUAAACUAUGAGAUUCAAUUUUAUAUUUAAACUUUUAACUUUUAGAUUUAAAUUUAAAAUUUAAAGUUUAAAUCUUUAGAUUUAAACUUUAAAUUUUAGACUGUUAAACUCUAAAUUUUAAAUUUUAAAUUUAAAAUUAUAAGUUUUAAUUUUAAAUUUUUAAAUUUUAAACUUUAGAUUUCUAAACUUUAAACAUUAAGUUUUAAUUUUGAAAUUUAAAAUUUAAGACUUUAGAGUUUUAAAUUUAGACAGAAUUUAAAACUUAAAACUUUAAAUUUUCAACUUUAAUAUUUAAAUUUUAAGUUUAUAUUUUAAAUUUUAAAUUUAAAUCUAAAAGUUAAAAGUUUAAAUAUAAAAUUGAAUCUCAUAGUUUAAAAAUUAAAAACACGUUUAAAAUUUUAAAAUUUAAAUUUAACUUUAACUUUAACUUUACAAUUUAAAUUUAAGUUUAAGUUUAAAAUUUAUAUUCCAGUUUAAAAUUUAAUAAAAAUGUUAUCUUAAUUCAUUUUUUUUUAUAAUAAACGUCUGUAGUUUUUAAAAUAAACAGCUUGUUGAUAUGCUGUAAUGAAGUCUCUUUAACGAAAGUUGGUAGAUUUGAGUUGGUUCGCGAGAGGUCAAAAAUUGGUUCUAGUUAAGCUAUAUUUAGUCAAAAAGGUUUAGAUCCGGUCUUCCCAGGAUUGUGUGAAGUCAUGGUUUACCUAAUUUUACAUAAUUACAUUUACAGCGAAUUACAUUUACGGCGAGCUUGGUAUUCCGGUUUGUCCGGGUAUCGGUUGAAGAAGUUAGACAGUAUAUAUAUGGGGAGAAGAGUUUCAAAUACCACACAAGGGUCAGUGUCGAUUCAAUCCCAUUUUCUUGUUGAAUGUUUUUUUUGUACAUUCGUUCAUGCGUAGUCAUGGGUUGACAAAGUGAUCAACGUUGAAACGAGUACUUUGGAUGCUUCUUUAAAGCUUUCCCAAGUAGGCCGGUACCUUUCUUAAGUCUGCUCGCUCUUGUUACCGUCUUGAUACUUUUUUUUUUUUCUUUUUUCUUGAUCGGUUAAGACCUGUAUUUUAUUUCCUUUUAUGGAUAUUUUCACUUAAACACCACUGCGACGUUUUACUUGAGGUUUACGUUACAGAGAACGGUACUAAUCGGUAAAGUCAAACUCCUUCUAUGUUCUGGCUGAUUCUUUUCGUAUGUUUAAACGUUCAUCGUUUUCCUCUCUUUUCGUUACAUCUAUUUUUCUUGUGAAGUGGAUGGAAAGUAAGCUAAAGUAUGAACUUUGUCAGAUUACUUUACACUUUAUCACUUAUACAUAGCAAACGAGGUGUUCAGUACUCUCCGAGAGCGUUAGUUCCCUUUGAGUACGGAAUUUCUCGUAUAGGUUAAAAACAUUAAAUAGUCGACUGAGGUUUAGGACGACAUUCCACGUCACGUUUCUCCUUUUUUUCUUCGUGGUGAAAGACGACGAAGGAAGGCAGGGAAGGGUCUACAUUCAAAACUAUUUUCACUCUUGAUGUAUAUCAUAUAUCUGAAAUUAGAAAGUAGGUUUUCCUCUUGCCUUUUUCCUUAGUGUUUGAACGCGAAGCCUUUAAGUUUAACUAGUUCGUGAAACAAUUCGUGAUCCGAAAACAUUUGCUAAGAGAUGAUUCCUCGGUCUGCAGUUUACAUAAGCGGUUUGUUUUUUCUUUACAAACCUGGAAGGUGGGUAACAACCUUCGGCUUUACUCGAAAGUUCGGGGUUUCGUCUUCGAGAUAAAACUUCAAAGACGAAGAGUGGACGUUGAAGAUGCAUUCGUGGUCUUGUGUGGGGUCGAUCUCUACUUCUACCGUCGUGUCAUUGUGUCUAAAGAAAUGGAAAUUUAUUGGUUAGAAUGUGGCGGAAAAAAAAAAAAAAAUUAUAGUUUUAAGUUGGAUGUUUGACUUUCCUCGGGUUGAUUGUUGGAGCGUUUCGUGUUUUAAAAUGUCGGACAUUCGGGCAAUGAUAAUCAUGUUAUUUCCUUAGUCGAAUAUGGACUGGAACAAGUAUAUGAGACACAUGGAGAGGGGUUUCAAGAGGUGGUACUCUCGGAGGAGGCGUAGGCGGAAGGUGGGUAUCAUUUCGUUCGUGUGUCGUUGUUCCUUGUCGUUCGAUUCGCCUCGGGCGUCUCAUUAUGUCACUUGUCGUUUAUCUUCGUAGCAGCUGCGUAUCUAGCCUACGGCGUGGGUGGCCAUCCCCGGCUUGACGUGGUGACGGCACCCGUGGCGGUGGAAGAGCCUCAUGAAACGCUCCAUCUCGUGGCUCACCAUGGCGUACUUCUCGUGGUACUUCUAGUUGUGGGUAUAGGGGUUUAACCGGGUUGGGGGGCCUUGGUCCACGUCAAGGCCGGGGAGCAUACGGCGCUCGGUCACGGGCUAGUAGUGCUCCCGCCGCUUAGGCUGGACCUCCACGCCGCCGUACGCCUGUAGGGUGAACCCUAGCACUUGCGCCCCCAUGUCCAGCGGCAUCUCCGCGGACGCUUGCCUCCCGAGCUUCUUCUUCUUCAUCACCAUCUGCUCCUUUUCCCGCUCCCCGGUUGGAAGCUCCUUCGGUAAUUUCACGCGGCCCCCCUGCUCUCAGUCGGUACGCCUCCGCCGCCACUGUUGCCGCUCGACCAGCUCCCGCCUCCGCCUCGGCUCCCUCGUGGACGCCUCCCGCUUCUCCGGCUGCCGCCGCUCCCGCUCCCGCUCCUAGGUACCGGUCUUCUAGGUCCUCUCCGACUUCAUCCAGGUCUUCUUCCCCGACUCCUCCUCCCUCUGCCUCGCGAAUUACCGCUUCUCCCUCUCUCUCUCCUCUUCCCUCGUGAACUUCUACCACUCUCCCCUCCCCUGCCCCUCAAGCCGAGCUUGAUUAUUAUUCAGCUCGUUCGAAUUAGGCUCGAAAUGCUCGAAAAGCUCGAAUAUAUAUAUAUACUAUACUAUCGAAAGUAUAGAGAAUAUGGUGCUUUCGAUUUUUUGAUUCUUAGAUCAACCCCUUUAAUCAUUUCUUUGAAUUAAUACUAUUAUUAUCUUGUAUGGACCACUCAAUCCUAAGGAUAUUAUUUAAUCCUAGGGGGGACCGCAAUCAUCCUAACCAUACAAUUCUUAAUCAAAGGAUCAAAAAUUCGAAAACAUCAAAUCCUCUAUAUUUUCGAUAGUAUAGUAGUUCUACACUAUAUAUAUAUAUAUAUAUAUAUAUAUAAAUAUAUAUAUAUAUAUAUAUAUUAAAAAUAUAUAAAUAUAAUAUAUUUUAAUUAUAUAUAAACUGAGUGAAUAAUCUAAGUUUAGUUAAAAUUGGGCCAAUGUUGUUGGCCUAUAAAAACAAACCCAAUAGACAAAUAAAAGAGCAAAAUUUUACUAAAUUUAUACACUUUCUCUUUCUUUCUUUCACAGAACUCUAAAUUUUCAAUAUGUUUCUCUCUUUCUCUUUUUCUGUCUCUCACCCUAAGCGGCCAAGCCGGAAGCCCUCCAAAUUACCAAGUAACAGCAUAUGCCUGCCGUUGCCUACCUUGCUAUUAAUUGUAUGCUUGAGAAAAUAUACAUAAUAUUUUUAAAGUAAAAAUUAUUAUUCAUAUAAAAUUUUAAUUUUUGUUAUAUAUGAUUGGAUAGUUUAAUCCAAUAUUUAUCUAUAUAAUUAAUUUAUUUUUGACUGCAUAAAUGAAAAUGAAUAAUAUGGAGAUUGAAGUGAAAAAAAAGAUAUGUGAGGCUGAAAAGAUUAGAUAUUCAACUCAUAAAUUAUUUUUUUCAUAUUAUAAUAUUAUAUUUUAUAUAAUUAUUUUGUACUUUGAACUAUUAGACAUAUUUUUGUAUCAAAUUAUAGAUAAUGUUCUAUACAAAUUAAACUAUUGAUCGUAUGAUGUUGAGAAUUUCAAGCGGCUCGUUUAGGGCUUGAGCUCACUCGACUCGAAAUUAGGCUCGCUCGAGCUCGGCUCGAAUUAAUUUCAAUCCAAGCUUGAGCUUAAAUUUAAGCUCGAAAUCAAUUUCAAGCCAAAUUUGAGCCGAGGUAAGCUCGCUCGAGCUCGGCUUGUUUCCACCCCUAAACUGCACUAGGCGGUGGUUGUUUCAAAAUAAACUAUGAUUUAGAAAAUCUCCAUGCAUAAUUACCAAAAAGGAAACGUUGGAAUUAGUAAGAUUUCUCAAAUAGUAAUAAGAAUAAUAAUCAUAUAUAUAUAUAUAUAUAUAUAGAGUUGAUCUAGGAUACUUUUACAAGUAUCAUCCCCAAGUUGCUAUCACAUUUUUAGCCAUUGGAUCUACUUUUUGAUUACAAAUAGCCCUUGGAUCAAACACUAUUCCACCUACCACCACCUACCACCACCUACCCCCAUCAUCUCAACCUCCCAUCUCUCCAUCCAAGGGCUAGAAACACACAAGUAUCACUUGGGUGAUACUUGUAAAAGUAUUCUAGCCCUACUCUAUAUAUAUAUAUAUAUAUAUAUAUAUAUUCGAGCUUUUCGAGCCUAAUUCGAACGAGCCAAAUAAUACUCAAACUCGGCUUGAAAUGAAUUUCGAGCCUUUGUUUUUUGUUCAAACUUGGCUCAUUUAAUUUCGAGUCGAGCUCGAGCGAGCCAAAUAUCGAGUCGAACGCGAGCCGGCUCGCUCAUUUGCCAGCCCUAUGAAUCUCACAUUGCCUAGUACUUAUGCGUCUGAAACUGACGAGAACGUCAGGACUUAAGGGGGGAAGAAUAUGAAACCCCAAAUAGUCCUAUAUGUAAGAUAUAAUAGGACUAAAAUUUUUAACCCGAUUUAAGUAUUUUGAAUGAUGGCAAGAUACAAAAGGUUAAAAUAAUUAAGCGUGCUAGGAGGGGGCGUCACAAUUAACCCUCUUAGAUUUUACAGACUCAUUCCAGAUUUUUUUUUUUUAAUUAACUAAAUAUUCUUUUCUUUUCUCUCUUCCUCUAUCCCAUCACUCUCAUCUGACAUCUCCGUCAUUCAAAUUUUUAACCGUAAAAUUUGACGGGAUAAAGGACUUUUUUUGCAAAUAGCCUCCUAAUAAUUUUUUUUUUUUUGAAAUUGGUCCUGUCAAAAAUUUAUUUGCAAAAAUGGCCCUGGCCCCGCCCCGCAAGCGUCACGUCAGUGCCACGCGGGCGGGCCUAGGCCAAGUGUUUAAGUUGAACACGGUGAACCAUUCACCGUGUUCAAUACAAGGUUUUUGUAUUGGACACGGUGAAUGAUUCAUCGUGUCCAAUACAAAAUGGCUAAGUGCGAGAUAUUUGUAUUGGGCACGGUGAAUCAUUCACCGUGUCCAAUACAAAUAAUUAGACACGGUGAAUGGUUUAUCGUGUCCAAUACAAACACCCACNACGAACGCCUCCACUUCGAAUCCACGAAGCUUCAAUCACGCCGAAUCCACGACGCCACUCGAAUCCACGAGCCCACGAUCCGAAUCCACGAACCGCCGUCAAACACGCCGAAUCCACGACGCCGUCAUGAAGAGCAUCAUGAUUAUGGUGAUCCUUCGCUUAGGAGUAUCGUAGAAAACCAGGAAAAGAAACUCCAAGCAAAGCGGAGAUCAAAUCGGCAUAUAGAUAUCAAAUUACAAUAUUCCGAUUUGACCUAAAAGAGGCUAAUAUGUAGAAAAUAGAUUUUAGAUGAAAUCCGAGCCUCUAGGGUUUCUCAAACAUGUAUUUUCGUGAUGCUUCUUAUGUUAGAGAAGCCCAAUAGCUUAUUUAUAGACUUUAGAAUCAAUUAGAGUCGAAUUAGAAAGUUUUCACGAUUUUACACUGUGUACGGUACGCGAAAUGCUGUCACCGGUUACACAAUGACGGAACAAAAAUUGCGAAGUCAAAGUUGAUGGCUGUACUGGUACGGGACAAUUGCUGUACCGGUACACAAUGCAAUUUUUUAGAUUUUGCACUAUUUCGGGUUCCGCAAAAUUCCGAGGCACUUUCUAAUUCAUUAAACUUUAAGUUUAUGAUUCUAAUGCCUAUAACUAAGUAUGAAUCACCAUAACAUGAAGUAAAACUUUACCUUUAUGUCGUGAUUCACAUUGUGAGCUUCUUUUCAAAAUCUUCGAAAUCUUGAAUUCUUCAAUCUUCGUCAAUCCGCUUCGAUCCUUCAAGACUCCGACUCACUUCACGAAACUUGCCAAUACAAAAUCCUUAACAAUCUCCCCCUUUGGCAAUUUCGUGACAAAACUCACACAAACUCAAAAAUUACAAUUUAAAGAGAAAACGAAGUUCAAUGUCAUCACCAAAACACCGAACCCCUCGCGUGUAAUCCAAAUACAAUAUGAAACCCAAAAUUACAUCAAAACUCCUAGAACAGACUCUAUGACUUAGACGCAACUAGGAGUCUUAAAGUCUUGAAAUCCUGCAAAACAAAUCACUCAAAAAUGAUUAGCCUUAAAAUUUUAUACCUUCUCCCCCUUUGUUCACAUCUCCUCCUUUGUUCUUAAAUCACCAUCCUCUGCUUUAGUUUAAUGCCUGAAACAUCCAUGCUCUCCCCCUUCAUCUAUGCUCUCCCCCUUCUUGUCAAAAAUUGCCAAAAGCAAGCAAGUAAAAAGAGAAAACAUAUUAGAAAGCAUAAGAGUAGUCUAGUCAUAGUUACAGGCCUAAAACAAAAGUAAAAACAUGCAAAGGAAAGAUAAGCAAGCAUAACUAAAACAUCGCCCUAAACAGUAAAAUGCAGUAAAAGAGAAAGUCUAAGCCCGACUAAGACAUCACUCCGUGUCCUCGUCAUCAUCAUCAUCAGUAUCUCCUGCACCUGCUCCAGACCCUCUACCAUCCGAAGCUUCAGUGGAUGGAGGAAUAAGAGGAUGUCGAGAAGUAGACCUUGUAUAGACAGGCUGUGUAGGAAAGAUAUCGUCAUGCCUGCAUCCCAAUUUGUCCAUCAUUCUCUUCAUUCCUACCUCCACUUUCCUGGCAAGAUCAGCCACCUUCUCCUUUAAAGAUCGCACUUCAUGGCGAAGAGAUUCUCCCCCUGAACUGGAAGAUCCCUCACGCUCUGCUCGAGGUGGAGGUGCCUGGCUAGGAGCUGGUCGCGACGAUCCCUUUGUUUGCUGAAAUGAUUUUAGUGUGCUGACUGACUUGGCCCAAGUUACAGCAUCGAUAGGACCAAGACCAUAAUCGUACUUCUCACAUGAAACAUCCACUCCACUGUCCUGCAGAAUCCGUGUGAUCAAAAGAGGAAAUAGAAGGAGAUCUCGUCGAGCAGAAGCCUGAAUAACAUGAAUCAUCCGCUGCCAUAUCAGAAAAGGAAUGUUAAUGUUCAAUCCAUGAGAUCGCUCCGGAUGACCAAGAAGAAACAGUAGAAGCAAACGAUCCCAACGAAUUCGCUUUGUCCCAAUCGUUGGUUGCACAUUAUAGNCAUUUGGUUCCAGUUAUGUAAUGUUACAGAGUAUUUCAAUAUAUUCAGGUAUCUUAGAUUUCUAAAUGAGAUUACUACUGAUAGCAUUAGUACGUUUGGUUUAAUACAGUAAUAUAAUGCUGGAUUGCAGUAUUUAUACCAUUACUAUAUUUGGUUCUGUUUAUAAAAUUUAGUAAUUUAGACAAUAAAAUAUAGUCUAUUACAAAAUUGCCCCUAGUCAUAUUUCGUAAAUUUUUUUUUACUGAUUACAAACAAUAUUUUUUUACCAAAUUUUAUUUUAAAUAAUUUAAUUUUNNNNNNNNNNNNNNNNNNNNNNNNNNNNNNNNNNNNNNNNNNNNNNNNNNNNNNNNNNNNNNNNNNNNNNNNNNNNNNNNNNNNNNNNNNNNNNNNNNNNNNNNNNNNNNNNNNNNNNNNNNNNNNNNNNNNNNNNNNNNNNNNNNNNNNNNNNNNNNNNNNNNNNNNNNNNNNNNNNNNNNNNNNNNNNNNNNNNNNNNNNNNNNNNNNNNNNNNNNNNNNNNNNNNNNNNNNNNNNNNNNNNNNNNNNNNNNNNNNNNNNNNNNNNNNNNNNNNNNNNNNNNNNNNNNNNNNNNNNNNNNNNNNNNNNNNNNNNNNNNNNNNNNNNNNNNNNNNNNNNNNNNNNNNNNNNNNNNNNNNNNNNNNNNNNNNNNNNNNNNNNNNNNNNNNNNNNNNNNNNNNNNNNNNNNNNNNNNNNNNNNNNNNNNNNNNNNNNNNNNNNNNNNNNNNNNNNNNNNNNNNNNNNNNNNNNNNNNNNNNNNNNNNNNNNNNNNNNNNNNNNNNNNNNNNNNNNNNNNNNNNNNNNNNNNNNNNNNNNNNNNNNNNNNUUUGGUGGGUUUGGCUUCGUGGAAAUGGGGCGAAAUGGCCCCAAUGCUCUUUCUACUUGUUGUAAAAUAUUUUUAAGUUCAUUUCUAUACUAAAUGAAAUUUAUAUGAAUUUUAGAACAUUUAAAAUGCAUGCCUUAUGUAUUAUGAAAAUUUCACUAUAUAGUAGAGUUAUAUGAGUAGAAUGCAUGCAUACGGAAAAAGUGUUUAUUUUGCGAGUGAAAAAUACAUCUCUUAUGAGGAUUAUGACUUGGAACAUGUACUUUGGAACAUAGUUGUCAUGCUUUGACAUAGAGAACAAGAGUGUCAUAAAGGGGCACUUGAAACUAGUAAACUAUGAAAUUGCAAUGUAGAGACAUAUUGAUAGGCCACUAUUAUCCGCUACAUUCCAUGUUAGAGACAUGAUGACAUAGGGAUAGGCCGUUGAGAUACUUAACACAUUCCAUGUUAUUAGACAUGAGGACUUGGUACUCGUGACCGAUCGUUUGCCUAUUUGCCAUUGUGCUCAUUCGCACAUGCUUGUGAGGGUCGCUCCCUACAAGCCGGCACUCCGAAGAUAGCUAUCGCGAUUCAUAUUCGCCGUGCGGGAUUGGGCGCCGAAGUAGAUUGCCGUGGGACAGGCUCAUUCCUAGGGUGGGGAUGAUGACUACCACGGGGCCAUUAGGCUCGGCACCGGCCAGACAGCCUUCGGGUGGGUCUCAGGGCCAUAGACAACCUUCGGGUGGGUCUCUUCAGAUUUGACUUAAGUAUUCAUCAUGACAUGUGGACAGAUGAUGACUUAGAGUAUUACUUGGACAUUGACUAGAAUAGUAAACAACGGAACUUUACUAUUUUGCAUUGUGAACAUUAUGAUAGUUGGAGACUUUUACUUCAGGCAUAAUUGCUUCAUACUUAUGCUAAUUACGCUAAGUAGAGAUAUCAUGUUGUAGUAGGUUACAUUAUUUUUACUUACCUUUCGCUUUUCUACUAUUACUGUCACUGACAUCUUUUGUAGCUUUGGGCCUUGUGGUGCAUUCACUGAAGUCAGUAAUUGCCCACUGGGAACUAUUUUUAAUAGUUCUCACGCCCCUGUUUUAUGGUUUACUUUUCAGAGCCUUCGGCACCGGCGGAGGCACGGAUCGUGGCAAGGGGAUCGCUUAGCUAGCUAGCGAGGAGCGGUACUUUGCCUAGGUGGUUACUCUUUCUUUUGUAGUUGAGAGAGUGAGAGGUUUUGUAUCCAUGUAUAGAGACCACCUAUCUAUCUACCUAUAGCACUUGUAUUUGGGAUUUUCUUGUAUCACUUUAUGUUUUAUUUAGUGGAUUUACAGUUUUAUCCUUAUCCCUUAUUGUAGCAUCUAGACAUUUAUUAUGCUCUGAUACUCCUAGAUGUCUUGUAUUAUGGCUUUUAUUAUUGUUAUUCUUAGACGCCUUAUACGUUUUAGACGUAUGGCGGGUCUGAGCACGCGCCGGGCGGGCUUCCGCUGGGUCCCGGGGCGUGACAGGUACCCUCCCGAUGCAGUACCGGUACCUAACUCCAAUACCGGUACUCGGUAACCUAGUACCGGUACCCAGCACCUCCCAGCCCAAACCGAGAGCAGCUUCUCUCGAUUACGCUCUGGGGUUCCGGUACCUCACCUAGGUACUGGCACUCGGCACCCCAAAACCUGUAUUUCCAGAUUUUAGUGCAAAGUACUCCUUCUCGCAUUCUCGCAACACAAAUAAUGGGUCAGUACACAGUCAAUGACUUACAAAAACACCAGCAAUAGCUCAAAACACUAUCCUAACACUGGAACCUCGCAAUUUGCUAAAGUUCAGUGUGCUACAAAAUGUAUAUCUAAUUACUUCUUCAAUUUGAGCGUAAAGCUCAUUAUUUCUCAGGACUAGAAUAAUUCCAGCUUGUGCUACCUGCUCUUGAUUUCCAUUCAGUCUGAAGGAAAGCUAAACUACUGGAUUUUGAAAUUGCUCUAUAUCAGGGCCCUGUCUCGUAGCUCUCGUGUCUACAUUUUGAGGCUAAUAGGUUGGCAAAGGGGGUAGAGGAGGUGAAACUCAGGCAUCCUCUCAUUGAGGAUAGGGAUUUGUAUUUUCUGGCUUGUAGGCCACUUGGAAAGGUCCUAUCUGCAGCUAAAUUGGCACUACUGCCAAAACAAUAGAAUUCUGCUGUAUAGGAGUCGCUUAAAGAACAUUUUGUCCUCCAAGCUAAUUCAGCACUAGGGGAUCUUGUGGUCCUCCUUGUAUUUGUUUAUUUCAAGCUAAUAUAUGCCUACUGUAUACUAUCCCCUCAUUUGUUGAUCCUAUUUGUAGAACGCAGCGGAAGUAUUCGUUCGUACCUUUUUGCGGAAGCGAUUCGCGUUACAACUCGAUGAGCCCAGAUCGUUGAGGUUGAUUUACAUGUCCUUUGAUCGUUCUUGAUUAAAUCUUCUCACGUUCCAAACUCGCGAUGGAUAGAACUACAAACGAGAACGAUCACAAAUCCACCGUUCAAGUCCCUCUUAAAAUAAUAGGUUGAUGGAGGAUGUGGUUUCUCUCUUUCAUUUUUUUAUUCUCUUUUCUUUUUCCGUUCUUGUUCCUAUUUGUUAUGUGGAAUCGCCCGCAUAUUUAUAAGGGAUUCCAAAAUCCUAAUAGCGUUAGAGAUAAGGCCAAAUCGGUCAUUAAUUGUUAUCCUAAUAUGACUAGGAUGUAUCUCUAACUAACAUUCCAAUUUGAAAGCGAGAUUAAUUCCAAUCCAAUUAGAUAACAUAACAUCCAUCGGAUUGAACCCGCUUAUGGGCGUACCCGAUUCGAUUUAACCGAAUGCCAACAUCUCCCACUCGCACAUGACGGGAUCGAUGCCAUCGUAACCACUUCCUCAAUAUCACACCACUAUUAAUUCUAUUCAUACAGGAAAAUGAACAGUGCGACCGCCGAGUCAACAUGCAUUUUGGAAGCUCUAUACUAGAAACCGCAUCCGGCCAGCAUAGAGACAUCAACCCUCAAAAAGGAAAAAAUAUUAGACUCGUGAUGCCCUAAACCAUUGAAUUACAUCAGGUUCAGCAUCUCUAAUCCCUCAAAGAGCCAUGUUAACCGCAAUUGUGCACAUUAUGACACUAUACUCAUAAUUGUUUCGCUAUACUGAAGCGAUACAACCUGUCGACAAUGAGAUAAAGUGUCUUAAUGUAAUUUAACUAGUCUUCCUUGAGCCCUCAUGCCACUGAGUUGAGAACUGAUUGCUUUCCCAGCAAUGCCCCAUAAAGCUGCAUCACUCAUGGUCGUAGGAAACAUGCCAAAGUAGCAACAUCAAUUCUUUCACUUAAUGACAUAGUCAAAAGUCACUAAGGGCAUCUAACAUAUAUAGGACAUCGUCUCAAAAUAAUGCCCGUAAGAACUCACACGAUGAGGAAGCAGAGAUCCAUUCACUCAUCUUCUUCAUUUAGUCGCCCAGCACAUGUAGUAUGAAAUACAUUCUAUGACAGAGAAUCCCAAUAAGCAUAUGUCUUUCUCAAUGUCAUACGGAUCUUAGCUCAGUCACUCCGGGAGUGUCUAGCCUGAGUUAUCCAUUUGCUCGCUAUCUCAAGCGUCAAACGGUGAGCUCACAUCCGGCUCUUAAUAUACAGGCCAUACGAAUCAUGGGACUAUUCGUAUGCAGUCUCAUUAAUGACCUCAUCUUGGUGCCAACCAAGGCGGCUUCCAUUAAUGCCUCAAUUUUCGCUCGCUCUCUACAACGCCGAAAAAAAUGAUUGCCCGUGUGAGAGGGCCAAUCAGCUUGUGACAUACUAUCAAUCAGUUUAAUGACAAUGCACGUGUACUAAUUUUACCAAAUAUCUUUUCCAAAAUAAUAAUUUGUAAUUAAAUAACCAAGAAAUUAUAAAAAAUAAUCGACUAUCUACACAAUCAAAUCCUACGGAGUCCAAGAGCUUUAACAUGAGCCAAAAAAGAUUCUCUAACAAUAGGCUUAGUCAGAGGAUCUGCCACCAUGCGACUCGUAGAGAUGUGUUCCAGAAUUAUUUCUUUCUGCGCCACUGCCUCACGAGCAAAGUGAUACUUUAAGUCGAUGUGCUUUGUCUUGCCAUGAUAUUUCGGGUCCUUCGUGUAUGCAAUCGAUGCCAUACUGUCACAAUAGAUCGUCACAGGAACGGAAGUACAAGCGACAAUCCCAAUAUCUCGAAGAAACCUCCUCAACCAGAUAGCCUCCUGGGCUGCUGCAGAACACGCCACGAACUCCGCCUCCAUGGUGGAAAGAGCUAUACAGGUCUGUUUCUUACUACUCCAAGUUAUGGCGCCAUUGCCAAGUAAGAAUGCAUAUCCUGAGGUCGACUUACGCUCAUCUAGGUCACCAGCCCAAUCCGCAUCGCUAUAACCGAUGAAACGUAAAUCCGUACUUUGAUAGCACAGCACAUAAUCUAUCGUACCUCUGAGGUAAUGAAGUAUUCUUUUAACAGCUUUCCAGUGGUCCAAUCCCGGAUUGGACUGAAAACGGCUAACCAAGCCCACGGCAUAGCAUAUAUCAGGCCGAGUACACAUCAUAGCAUACAUCAGGCUCCCGACCGCGCUGGAAUCCGAUUCAUCUUAUCCUUCUUUAUUUGGAAGUUUUAGGGCACUGUUUAAGGUUCAGACUCUCACCUUUAGCAAUAGGAGUAUCAAUAGGCUUGCAAUUGUACAUCUGAAAUCAUUCUAAAACUUUUCUUAGGUAAGUCUCUUGAGAUAGACCUAAAAGUUUCUUUGAACGAUCUCAUAGGAUCUUAACUCCGAGCACAUAAUUCACUUCACCCAUAUCCUUCAUUACAAAAUUAGAGGACAGCCACGUCUGAAUGGUGACAAUCAUCUCCUUAUUAUUCCCGGCCAAUAGGAUGUCAUCAACAUAUAAGGAAAUGAUUAGAAAAAUUCCUUUGGACCAUUUAACAUACACACAGUAAUCUUCUUCAAUCAUCGUAAACCCAUCUUCAGUGAUGGCUUGAUGAAAUCGAAUAUAUCACUGUCUGGAGGAGUGCUUCAAUCCAUAAAUGGAUCGUCGGAGCUUAUAAACUUUAUGCUCCUCACCCUUUACAGAGAAGCCAGCAGGCUGAUCCAUAUAGAUCUCCUCAUCUAGUUCUCCAUUGAGAAAUGCAGUUUUAACGUCCAUUUGGUAAAGUUCCAAAUCCAAAUAUGCAACAAUGGCCAAGAUUAAGCGGAUCGAAGCAAACCUUACGACAGGAGAAAAGGUUUCCUCGUAAUCAACGCCUUCUCGUUGGGUAAAACCCUUUGCUACCAGGCGAGCCUUGUACCUAUCGAUUGAACCGUCUGCCUUGCGCUUAAUCUUGAGAACCCAUUUAUUCCCGAUUGUUUUGCGCCCUGGUGGCAAGUCAACCAAGUCCCAGACAUGAUUUGACUUCAUCGAUUCUAUUUCCUCCAUCAUUGCAUCCAACCAUUCCUUAUGAGUAGGUAAUGAGAGAGCCUCUUGAAAAGAUCUAGGCUCAUCAUCAUCAUGUGCAGCAACCAUGAAAGCUUCCCCCUCAAUCUCAAAAGGACGACGGGGAACUCCCACACGUGUGCUCCUACGAAGUUGAGGCUCCUUAUUUAAAGGUAAGUCACUCCCACUAUCCCUAGGAGGUAUCGGAGUUGCCUUCUCUGCCUCAACUGAGCGAAUAAAGCGCUAAUACCAGAGUCAUCCAUCUCAUGGAUCUCAAUUUCAUUUCGAACCUCACUUCUAUAAGGAAAAUCCUCCUCGAGGAAUUCAACAUCUCGUGACUCAAUCUCAGUCAAACUUCUAUCUGGCUGCUGUCCGAUGAACACGUAUCCCUUAGAGUAUUGAGGGUAUCUUAUAAAGAUACACUUCUUUCCUCUAGUACCCAACUUCCCAUGCUUGUGAGAAGUGUUGUGUACAUAAGCUGCCGAACCCCAAGGACGUAGGUGCUCCAAAUUUGGUUUCCUGCUCGUCCAUAAUUUAUAAGGGGUGGAAGGUACUAUUUUGGAGGGUACACGAUUAAGAAUGUAGGCAGCAGUUAAUAAUGCGUCCCCCUAAAAGGAGAUAGGCAAAUUUGCUUGCGCCAUCAUUGACCUAACCAUGUCAAGUAAGGUGCGAUUUAUUCUCUCCGCUACACCAUUUUGCCGUGGAGUGCCAGGAAUUGUCAGCUGUCUGAUUAUUCCUUUUUUAUCACACAAUUCCUUGAAUUGUUCAGAUAGAUACUCGCGGCCUCGAUCAGUUCUUAAGGUUUUAAUUUUCAUAUUUAACUGAUUCUCAACCUCAUUAAUAUAACGUCUAAAACAAUCUAAUGCUUCAGACUUAUGGGAGAUCAAAUAGACAUGACCGAAGCGCGUAUGGUCAUCUAUAAAUAUAAUGAAGUAAAAAAUACCAUGUCUUGCCCUCACACUCAUUGAGCCACAAAUGUCUGAAUGGAUCAAUGGUAAAGGAAAUUCUGCCCUAGAAGCUUUAUUAAAUGAUUUUCGGGUCGCUUUUCCUGCUAAACAAUGUUCACAUGUAGGCAGGUCGACAUUAGUGAGCGAGCUCAAUAGCCCGUCUCUAACUAAUCUAGUCAUUCUAUCCUGCCCAAUAUGACCAAGACGUACAUGCCAUUUAAUUGAAACAUUGUGAUCAUUCUCAAUAGAAGAUAGCAGGAAAAAAGAAUCACUAUUAUUAAUAUUAUAAUCAAUGUCCAAAACCAUAAAACUAUUUGACAUAAAACCUCUUCCAUAAUAAAUAGUUCCAAGAUAAAUUUUAGCUACAUCACUCUCAAAACGAAAAGAAAAGCCUAACUGUAGCAUAGCAAGAAUAGAAAACAAGUUCCGCCGAAUUCCUGGAGCAUAACGUACAUCAUGUAGGUAUAAAGUUCGAUCACCUUGCAUGAUCAACUUGUAUGUGCCAACGCCUAACACAUCGACACUUGAAUCGUUCCCCAUGUAUACUCUUCUGCUCCCAGCAGGCACACGACAGUACUCGACGAAUCCCAUCCGAUCCCUCGCUACGUGGUCUGUUGCUUCUGAGUCUACAAUCCACACAAGGAGAGAUUCAGCAACAAACGUGUUAAAGGAAACAAAAGAGCGAGAAUCGGGAUAGAGAUGUACCUUCUUCGGCUCAAUGCAAUCACGAGCGAAGUGUCCCAGCUAAUUACAGUUGAAACAAGUCAUCUUUGACUUGUCCUUCUUGCCACCUCGUUUGCUUCUCUUUCUUUUAGUGCUCUUCGCGUUCUUAGGCGCCGAUCCGCUACGAUUUUGAGCUCCAGUAGUCCUCUUUCGCUUGAACCCAGAUGUACUGCAAAAGUUUGACUCAGCAGCAUUGGUAGUUGGAGUUUUAACAGCCUCAAGGCGCUCCUCCUCCAACUCCAAAUACCGCACAACAUCCUCAAAAAUUUUGAUAUUGUCAUUAUGGGUCAAAUUUACUCGCAUAUGUUCCCACGAGUUGGGAAGGGAGCGAAUCAUAGCUUGGAUCUGCUGCUCAUUAGUCAAGGUGCCGCCAGCCGACUUUAACUCGCGAAUUAUGUUUAACAUUGUUCUAACGUGCUAUUUCAUAGUCUGAUCAGCACGCUUUUUAUAACUAUCAAACCGCAUAGUCAGACUACGCAACCUUGUAGCCGAAGUUACACCCAAUUUUGCUUUGAGAGCCUCCCACAUGUCAUACGCAGUUGAAUACUACUCACACUCGCACAAGAGAUCAUUCUGCAUACUGCUCAGCAACGUGAUGUGAGUAAUGCGAUCAUUUUCGAGCCAAUUAUUAUNAUUACAGUUGAAACAAGUCAUCUUUGACUUGUCCUUCUUGCCACCUCGUUUGCUUCUCUUUCUUUUAGUGCUCUUCGCGUUCUUAGGCGCCGAUCCGCUACGAUUUUGAGCUCCAGUAGUCCUCUUUCGCUUGAACCCAGAUGUACUGCAAAAGUUUGACUCAGCAGCAUUGGUAGUUGGAGUUUUAACAGCCUCAAGGCGCUCCUCCUCCAACUCCAAAUACCGCACAACAUCCUCAAAAAUUUUGAUAUUGUCAUUAUGGGUCAAAUUUACUCGCAUAUGUUCCCACGAGUUGGGAAGGGAGCGAAUCAUAGCUUGGAUCUGCUGCUCAUUAGUCAAGGUGCCGCCAGCCGACUUUAACUCGCGAAUUAUGUUUAACAUUGUUCUAACGUGCUAUUUCAUAGUCUGAUCAGCACGCUUUUUAUAACUAUCAAACCGCAUAGUCAGACUACGCAACCUUGUAGCCGAAGUUACACCCAAUUUUGCUUUGAGAGCCUCCCACAUGUCAUACGCAGUUGAAUACUACUCACACUCGCACAAGAGAUCAUUCUGCAUACUGCUCAGCAACGUGAUGUGAGUAAUGCGAUCAUUUUCGAGCCAAUUAUUAUAGGCUUCCAUAUCUCGGCGAGCCUGGGCACUGGUGCCCUCUGUGGGUAGGUCCAUUUUAUUGCUCAAGUUUUUCAGGACCUCUUGCUCAGCGAGAACAUAUUGAAUUUUACGGUGCCAAAUAUCAUAAUUGUCACCGUCCAAUUUCUCGCCCUUGUUUAAAUCCGCAACAAUUUGUUUGGAAGUCAUUAAAUCUCACUUUGUUCAUGCAAUGCGCAGAAAAGAAUAUUUUAAAAUUAGUACACGAUCAUGUAUUCAAUUUUGCCGCAUCUUUAAUUAAAUAAAUUAAAAAAUAGAUCAUACAUGCGUAAAGAAAAAUUUCGCUAUGCUCGUAAUCACAUCACACACCGUAUGUCAAAAUUUUUUUAAAUUAUUUAAUUAAGAUGCACAAAAAUGUUUGGGAGUAAAAGCAUAUAAUUUACUCAACCAAAAAUAAAAGAUUCCCACUUGACAAGGCAUGCAUAAAAAAAUAUAUUAUGCCUAAAGUUAUAUCUAUACAUCAUAACAGGCAUUAUGCAUGUUAAUAUGUCACAAAAAAAAAAAUCAUUUUAAUAAAUGCUUGUAACAUAUAUCGCAAAAUGCAUAUUAAACCAUCUAAUAUGCUAUAAAAAAAUAUUUGCUUUAUUAUUAUUAAUAAAAAAAAAUGUGGUUCAAAAACAAAAGAAAAAGACCAAAAAAAAUCCGUAGGCCCGCGAGGGCUACAGGCCCGCUCGCGGUGCAGGCCCGCUCGCGGCCUGGCCUGUGCGCUGGCCUGUUGGCAUGCUGGCCCCUGCCCGGCCUGCUGGCCCGCGCAGCCAGCCCGCGCGCAGCCUAAAGCAGCCAGAAAGGCCCACACGCGGCCCGCUUGGGCCCGGCCUGCUGACCCGCGCGGUCAGCCUGCAAGGCCAGCCCGCGCGGUCAGCCCGCAAGGCCAGCCCGCGCUCGGGGCCCACGUGCAGCCAGAGGCGGCCCGCAAGGCCGCUCGUGGCCUACUUGCGCAGCGAGCCUGUGCGCGCGGCCCGCGCGGCCUGCUAGGCCGCACCGCCAACCCGCACGCAUGGGCGGCCCGCGCGACGUGCACGGCCUGGUGGCGCGCGCACGCGGCCCGUGUAGCUGCCCGUGGCUUGCGCACGGCCUGCACGCGGCCAGCAUGCCUGCGUGGCCCGCGUAGCCCGCGCGGCCUGCGCGCGGCGCACGUGGCCAGCGUNUCGCAAAAUGCAUAUUAAACCAUCUAAUAUGCUAUAAAAAAAUAUUUGCUUUAUUAUUAUUAAUAAAAAAAAAUGUGGUUCAGAAAACAAAAGAAAAAGACCAAAAAAAAUCUGUAGGCCCGCUCGCGGUGCAGGCCCGCUCGCGGCCUGGCCUGUGCGUUGGCCUGUUGGCAUGCUGGCUCCCGCCCGGCCUGCUGGCCCGCGCGGCCAGCCCGCGCGCAGCCGAAGGCAGCCAGCAAGGCCCACACGCGGCCCGCUUGGGCCCGGCCUGCUGACCCGCGCGGUCAGCACGCAAGGCCAGCCCGCGCUCGGGGACCGCGUGCAGCCCGAGGCGGCCCGCAAGGCCGCGCGUGGGCUACUUGCGCAGCGAGCUUGUGCGCGCGGCCCGCGCGGCCUGCUAGGCCGCACCGCCAGCCCGCAGGCAUGAGCGGCGCGCGCGACGUGCACGGCCUGGUGGCGCGUGCGCGCGGCCCGUGCAGCUGCCCGUGGCUUGCGCGCGGCCUGCACGCGGCCAGCAUGCCCGCUUGGCCCGCGUGGCCUGUGCGCGGCGCACGUGGCCCGCCUGCUGCCUGCGCGCGGUCCGCGUGCGCCCCCACGCACCGGAACAGUUCUUUUUUUUUUCUUUUUUUUUUUUUUAAGAUAGCGAAUCUUCAAAAAAACAUAACUUGAGAUUUAGAGCUCCGAUUCAUGCAAGAAAUACAUCAAUAGAAACCUUGUGAGGAGCUCUUCCAAAUUAUGUAAUUUUCACAAUGGGAUAUUCAUCACACAUCAAACAAGCUACCCCCCAAAAAAAAAUCGAUUUAGAGUUUCGUUUUUCUCAUAAAAUACAAAAUCAUAUCAAAUCAAACUUUGUAGAUAAAAUCUACAAUUUCGGUGCUCCAAGAUGUGUAAAAAUCAUGCAAAGAUAUCCACUUAUGAAAAAAACCGCCAUUAACGCUCACAUACAUGCAAGAAAAAAAAAUCUAAAACAUGAUAGAUUUGAUUUAACGCAUGUAAUCUCGUUAAAAGAUUGAUCUAGGCCACGAAAUCAACCAAAAACACUCUGAUACCAAUGUAGAACGGAGCGGAAGUAUUCGUUCGUACCUUUUUGCGGAAGCGAUUCGCGUUACAACUCAAUGAGCUCGAGGUUGAUUCACGUGUCCUUUGAUCGUCCUUGAUUAAAUCUUCUCACGUUCCAAACUCGCGAUGGAUCGAACUACAAACGAGUACGAUCACAAAUUCACCGUUCAAAUCCCUCUUAAAAUAAUAGGUUGAUGGAGGAUGUGGUUUCUCUCUUUCGUUUUCUUAUUCUCUUUUCUUUUUCCGUUCUUGUUCCUAUUUGUUAUGUGGGAUCGCCUGCAUAUUUAUAAGGGAUUCCAAAAUCCUAAAAGCGUUAGAGAUAAGACCAAAUCGGUCAUUAAUUGUUAUCCUAAUAUGACUAGGAUUUAUCUCUAACUAACUUUCCAAUUUGAAAGCGAGAUUAAUUCCAAUCCAAUUAGAUAACAUAACAUCCGUCGGAUCGAACCCGCUUAUGGGCGUAUCCUAUUCGAUUUAACCGAAUGCCAACACUAUUGCAGCAAACACCGCAUCUAAGUGGGUAAUAUUAUGUUGGCUAUUUUGAUCCAAAUUUUGGGCACUGGGAUCAUUUGCCUGAGUGCAUAAACAAGACUCGGCUCUUGUGGAGCUGAAUAUCCACUGCUCUCUAAUCCUGCAGGCAAUGCCAACUGUUGCUCAUUUGCAUUUUCGACAUUACUUGCUUGUUCACUUCCUGAUGGCCUGGGGAUGAAUCUAUUACAAAAAUGCAUUUUGUUAUUGUUGUCUUCAACCAUAUUGUUCUAAGCUCGAGUUUUUCUAGAAAAUAUAUAUAUAAAAGAUUGAAAACUUUUACUUGAGUGUCCUAGCAAGCAUGUCAAAAAUUAUUUACGCAAGCUGAGUAAUUCCUGAUAUGGGUUUACCGAAUCAAAUGUUGGCUAAGCCAAAGUGCAACUGAUUUAUGAAUUGCCUCAAAGACAACCGUUAUUUGAUACAAUCAAACGAUAGGUUGAGAAGGGAUUUGCUUAAUCGAAUUCUUUCUUAAAUACGUAAAAGCUUUUUAGAGACGAAUCAAACUCAAGACUUUCAUAAAAAGUCGGCUGAAGCUAGAGCCAAACUAAAUAGAGUUUCAUUAAAAAGAGAGCAAGGACUCGAGUUACAAAGUUCUUGGUUAAAAACUAAACACUAAAGUCUAAAUCUAAGGCUAUAGCUACUCCUAAGAAAUACCGUAAAUGAUGAGAUUGGAAAAGAAGAAGUUUAAAAAUAAUGGUCUUCAAGAUAGGAAAAGGCAUCCAGUCAUAGGCAACUUUCUACUAUUUAUUAGCUUCUUACCCAAUGUCAUCAUUUACGGUAUUUCUUAGGAGUAGCUAUAGCCUUAGAUUUAGACUUUAGUGUUUAGUUUUUAACCAAGAACUUUGUAACUCGAGUCCUUGCUCUCUUUUUAAUGAAACUCUUAAAUCUAAGGCUAUAGCUACUCCUAAGAAAUACCGUAAAUGAUGAGAUUGGAAAAGAAGAAGUUUAAAAAUAAUGGUCUUCAAGAUAGGAAAAGGCAUCCAAGUCAUAGGCAACUUUCUACUAUUUAUUAGCUUCUUACCCAAUGUCAGUUAUCCUAUAGUUAUUGGACAGUUGUUAUUUCAUGGGAAGUACUACGACCACAUUCUUUCAGUUACAAAGCCGCUUCCUCACCUCUCAACCGUUUCGGCCCAAAAUUCAUUUGUUUUUGGGCUUUUUUUUUUCGGUUUUUGGUGUACCGCGUGUUAUCUUUCUAUUUGACCACGUGAGCCGAGCCAACUACUAGUCGGAAUCGUAUUUUUCUAUGCCAACACAUAUCUUUUCAACAAUUUCAACUUAAUCAUUUGGUAUUUGCUUUAUUUUAACUCUUUACCUCACCUUUAUCAAAACUUACUCAUAAAUUACAGCUGUAAUGCAUUUUACAUUAAUUUUUUAUUACUAACUAUUACUACUUGGUAUUACUUUCUUCUAACUCUUCACCUCUACCUUAGUAUUUAAUUUCCUUUAAUUUAUAAUUUAAUUUGAAUGCAUAGUAUUUAAUUUUUUAAGUUUAGAAUAAGAGAUUAAAGGUUUGAAUAAUAUAUAUAUAUAUAUAUAUAUAUAUAGAGUCCGGCUACUAUACUAUUAAUAGCACGAAGCACUUAGUGCUACCAAGUUUUUCACCGUUAGAUCUACCUUUUGAUCAUUUUCACAUGUUAGAUCAUACUAUUCAACCAACCACCCACUCAAACCUAAGGGGCCCACAUCAUCCUAACUACACAUCUCUUAAUCCAAUGGCCAAAAACUUGGUAGCACCGAUGACUUGGUGCUAUUAAUAGCAUAGUAGCCUAGUUCUAUCCAUAUGAGUCCGGCUGCUAUGCUAUCAAUAGCACCAAGUAGUUGGUGCUAUCAAAUUUUCUGCCGUUAGAUUAUCCCCUUUGAUUAUUUUUACCCUUUAGAUUAUACNCUUCGCCUUUCCUUGCAUAACAUGCCUGUUAGCUCAUUACCAAAACAUAUAUAUCUCACGAGUCAGUAAAAGAAAGAUCGAUCAAUUCUUUAUAUAUGCACACAUAUUAAUUAAUUAGUAGGCAUGCGAAUGCAUAACAACGGGAUUAAUAGGAGUACUUUACCUUCGGAGGAGAGCAAUGGCUGCUCCCUAAUGUGGUAGUUAAACAUUGAGUCCGCAUUUAAUUUCUUCACUUGCAAAGCUCCACUCAACUCCACUCCUCUCCUCCCCGCAAAGAGAAAGGAUCUACAUAAAUUGUCAUCUAAUAAAGAGAGAGAGUGUGGAUACCAAAGAAAAAAAGAAAUGUUAAUGGUAUAUCUAAAUAUAAAAAAAAAGUCUAAAAUUUAUACCCUUUAAUUUUAGAGUUUUAAAAAUUUUUAAAUUUUUAAGAUUAUUAUUAUUAUUUUUUUUUGACAAGACAAUGAUUCAUUCUCAGCCCUUGGAAAUGAGAAUGUAAGAUUUAUACCGUCUCUAAAGCAAUGCUCGUGAAAAUAAAAAAAAAAAAUAAAUGCUACUUGUGUACCCAAAAAGGGGUUUAUAUCUAGCAUCCCACCCAUACUAGGGUGAGGAUGUUUUCAUUAGUCACAUUGAUAUGACUAGUAAAAAAUAUUAUAAUUUAAGAUAGGUAGGUGUAUAUUAUACACCUCAUUUAGUAUGUAAGUGUAACAAUGUUGUAUUACAACUAGCUCUUUUUGGUCCUCAAACUAUGAGGUGUAUGACACUUUAAUUCUCAAACUUUAAUUCGUUGCAAUUUCUAUAUCAAAUUAUGAGGCGCAUGAUAUUUUGGUCCUGGAACUUUAAUUAGUUGUAAUAUUUAGCUCGAACUAUAAGGCACAUAACACUUCAAUUCUCGAACUUUUCGAAUUAUUGAAAUCAAGUCCAACAACCAAAUUUUUUUUGAAUAAGUAUGGAUGUAAGGAAGUGAAUUCUCGAAACUCGAGGAUUAGACUUCGACCAGAAUCGACUAGUUGUCGUGUGUGUAGGCUUCGGAAAGUCCGAAGGUGUUUAUAAUGCAUAAAGUGCAUUAAGGAAGGGUCCGUGGGAGCACCAGUGCAAAACUUGCACUGGAGCAGAAAUGCUCUCGGGGACCGGUCCCUGGCAGGGAGGGACCGGUUCCAUCAGGCUGGGUUGCGGAGGUCUCUGAUGAGACCGGACCCUGGUGGGCAGGGACCGGUUCCCGAACGUUGGCCUGGCGAGACUUAGCCAAAUUUGGCUAAGUCCCGAGAAUGCAGCUCUCGGGAACCGGACUCUCGGACAAGGACCGGUCUCCCGGGGACCGGUCUCUCUGGCAAAGACCGGUUCCCGAACGCGAAAUUCCCUCUGCUCGAAAUGGCAGCCUUCGGGGACCGGUCUUCCCGAACUGGGACCGGUCCCUCGCUGCGAAAAUGCCCAGAGAGGGCUGAAUUAGAAGAUGAAAAGUUGAGGGGGCUAGCUGCAAAAUGGCCUUUAAUAGGGCUUGGGGACCCCUCUCUCACCCUCAGUUGCUCUCUCUCUCUCUCUCUCUCUCUCGGUCUUGUGCCACGUGUUAUUUUUACUAUUUGGAUCAGUGAAGCGAGUAAUACUAGUUGGAAUCUAUUUUUCUAUGCCAAACAUAUUUAACACAAUUUCAACUUAAUCGUGGUAUUUGUUUAUUUUAAUCUACACCUUUUUCAAACUUACUCAUAAAGUACAGCUGUAAUGCAUUACAUUAAUUUUUUCUUAUAACUAUUAUACUUGUAUUUUUUUACUCUUCACUCUACCUUAGUAUUAAUUUCUUUAAUUUAUACUUUAUUGAAUGCUAGUAUUAAUUUUUAGUUUAGAAUAAGAGAUUAAGGUUUGAAUAAUAUAUAUUAUAUUAUAUAUAUAUCUUAUAUAUAGAGUCGGCUACUAAUAUAUAUAAUAAGCAGAAGAUUAGUGUACCAAGUUUCAGCUUAAGAUCUACCUUUUAGAUAUUUUCAAUGUUAGAUCAUACUAUUCAACAACCACCCACUCAAUAACGGGCCACAUCGAUGCCUAACUACACAUCUCUUAAAUCCAAUGCGCAAAAACUUACGUGCACGAUGACUUGGUGUAUUAAUGCCAUAGUAGCUAGUUCAUAUUAUAAAUAGUAUAUAUAGUAUAUAGUAAUACUUUUAAUAUUUGAGCAAUGUAAAUUUUGUUUUUAAUUUUUUUUUUUUAAAAUAACAUUUAUGAUGUUGGUUUUAAUAGUAUCGUCUAUUAAAAAAAACCAUUUUCACAAAGUUAAGUUUAAAAUUGUACGAUCCUGUGUGUUUAUGGUCCGUGCUAGUAAUAAUUAUAUAAUAUAUAAUAGCCUUAACAUUCUUUUAGUCAAAAAAAAAGAAAAAAAGCUGUAACUAUUCUAGGAAGGCGGCAAGCUUGUAAUGUAAUAAAGCCGAUAUAUAAGGUUGGGACAUGGGAAGCAGAGAGCGCGUUGGCAGACCUGAUGCGGGACUGGGAUAAGGCCUGCGGGGAUUGCAGCAGCCAAGAGAGGAGAGGCAACCCACGCCGGAAACCGAUUCGAAAUUGAGGCAUAAUCUCUACUGCUCCUCCGAAUCGCUACCGCUUCAUCUUCUGGUUGCAAUCCACCGCUUCGCUUUCCUUGCAUAACAUGCUGUUAUCACUUACCCAACAUAAUAUUCACGAGUCAGUAAAAAGAAAGAUCAUCAAUUCUUUAUAUAUGCACACAUAUUAAAUUAAUUAGUAGGCAUGGAAUGCAUACAACGGAUUAAUAGGAGUACUUUACCUUCGCGAGAGAGCAAGGGCUGCUCCCCAAGUGCCGCAGCGCAGUUAACAUUGAAGUCCGCAUUUAUUCUUCACUUGCAAAGUCCCUCAACUCCACUCCUCUCCUCCCCGCAAAGAAGAAAGUAUCUACAAUUUAAAAAUUGUCAUCUAAUAAAGACGAGAUAGGGAUACCCCAAAUAAAAAAAGAAAUGUUAAUGAUAUGACUAAAUAUAAAGAACAGUCUAAAAUUUAUACGUUAUAAUUUUACGGAGUUUAAAAUUUUUAAUCUUUUAGAUUUUUCUUUUUUUUUUUGACAAGAACAAUGAUUCAUCUCAGCCUUUGGAAAUGAGAACUGUAAAGAUUUAUACCGUCUGCUAAGGCAAUGCUGUGAAAAUAAAAAAAAAUAAAAUCACUUGAAUGUACCAAGAACGGUAUAUAUAGAUCCCACCAUACUAUGGGUGAGGAUGUUUAUUGUCACAAUUUGAUAUAUGGUAGUAAGGAUCAUUAUAUCUUAAGAUUAGGUAGGUGGUAUAUCAUACACCUCAUUAGUAUUGUUGAUGGAAUCUCAAGGUAUUGUAAAAGCAAAACCAAAAUUAAUCACAUAACCAAAAUUCAGGAUCAAAAACAAAUUAUAAGAUAACUCACAGAGCGCCAUAGAUAAGAAAUUCUUGUCAAUUAGCUGGAGCUUGGAAGUCCGGCUCCGAUCUAAGAGACGAAGAACUGGGUGUGAUUUGGUUUCUCCCCUAUCUCAGGACUCUACCGUAUGGUGUGGUGGACCGAUAGUAAUCUUCACAGAAUGUGUUAUGGAAGUAGGGCGGCAAUACCCCUUUAUAUAGAGUCAAUACGAUUCCAUCAAAUUUGAUUAGAGACUAUUAAAAUUUAAAAUUAGAUGGGAAUAGGGAUAAAAUAUUACCAUAUCAAUGUUCUAUAUCCUGUUAGAUUGACUUUAUCUUGAUAGAAAUCAGAUGAUUUGAAUAUAAUUAAUUGGGCCACAUAUAUAUAUGGAAAUCCGUAACAAUCUACCCUUGGUCUUAUUAAUCAUAUUCCUUAAUGGAUUUCUAUACUCCAAACUUUAUUGCGCAAUAUUGGAAACUUUUAUGUCGUCAAUACCUUAGAACUCACAUUUGAUCUUGUAGCUCAAAUUAAAAGACUACAAUGAUAGGAACCUAGGGCGGUCCACAUCUUCAUAAGACAAUAUUUCCUUCCAUGAACAUUACCGUAUGCAUCUUCAUUCCUAGCAUACUUAAUAUAGCGCAAAACUUUAUGAAUGAACUUAAACUGUUAUGUUCAUUCGAUUAAUAGACGAAAACUUUAUGUUAUAUUAAUGAGUCCAAUCACAGCUGCAUUAAACUUUAUUGAAAAAAGAUAAGAUGUUACAAAUUUAUACUCACAAAGAACUAAUCAAAUCCAUAACUUACACCACGGAUCCUGUAUAUGACUCAGAUGCCGGCCUUGGUCAUGAGGUUCUGCAAUCAUACACUUGGUACUUAGUAUUUCAAUUGUAACAUAACCUUUCAUCUGAUCCUUCUCUCUCACAAUAACGAUAUUUGGAUGUCCAAGUGUUUAUACUUGCUGUAAUCUUAUUGUUAUUGGCAAAGAAAACCGCACAGCUGAACUAUCACAGAAAUCUUUAUUGAUAAACACGGAAGAGAUCCACCCAAUUCUUAAGUCACAAAUGUGAUAAAAAUUCCUUUAAGCCAAAACUAGCCUGUAAUGUGGUCUCAUAACAUGCAAUCAUUGAUCCAAGAAUCCUUUCCAAAUACUCAUAACCUUCUUAGUAGCCUUUCAAUGAUUCAUAUCUGGUUAACUUUGAUAUCUGCAAUAAUCCAACGACAAAGCAAAUAUCGUGAGUAUGCCAGUUAGCAUGCACAAGACUAUCAACGUAGAGGCAUUAGAUAUGUUUUCAUUCUAGUUCAUUUCUAAUGGUAUCAGGGACACUGAAAGUAUUAAGCUUAAUGCCUUUUCUGGCGGAGCAAACUGAGGCUUACAAUUAUGCAUUUCAUAAAUUUCCAAAAUUUUCUUUUAUAAGGCCUUUUGAGACUAGACGAAAAAACCCUUAUAUGUGCUAUCCUUUUGAUUUCAAUACCAAGAACAUAUGACGGCCUCACCUAAGGCUUUCAUUUCAGAAUUUUGAAAAAAGAAAUUCCUUUAGUGUUAUGCAAAGCCCAAAAUCGAUUAUGGCAAGCAAAUAUCUCAACAGUAAAGGACUAAGAGAAAUUAUUUUUCUCCCACUGACUUAAUAAACAUAUUGAANNNNNNNNNNNNNNNNNNNNNNNNNGAUUUUCUUAUCUCUCUUUAGGAAAAGAAAAGAAAGAAGAAGAAGAGGGAGAGAAAGAGAAGAGGAAAGGAGACAAAGAGGCAAGGAGUAAGAGAUGAAAGAGAGGAGAGACUAAGAAGAGAGGAAAGUUUUCUUCCCUCUCCUAAAGCUUGGAGUUUAGGGUUAGAGGUAAGCUUAACCUUUAUGGGAAUUCUAGGGUUUUGAAGGUUUUAUGGUUUAGAAUUGGUUCAGAAUGGAACUUGGGAUAAUGAAUAGAUUGGUUGAGCUUCAAAUCGAAGCUCGCACCGUAUUUCCUUCGUCGCGCUUCCUGGCACGGGUUUGAGGAUUGGGGAAAAUAUAGGGGUAUUUGAUUCUAUUUAAAUUAGGUUGUAAACCAAUUGCAUAGGCUCGCAAACGCUUGGUGGCGGAGACGGUUGGUGCCGAUCGAACGAGGAUGUGCCGGGUAUCGCCGAAUCGAGGUUACUCGACGGGCUCGCUUUAUGGCCCGAGGGUCGGCCGGCCGAGCACUGGGAACUAAGGAAGUUGUUCUCCACUCAUUUUACUACAGGUUCAGUUCGUGGUGUCCCGGUGAGCGCGGAGGAUCGCGGUAAGGGCCGGCGUUUUAGUCUAUUAGCUACCUCCCUUUUUUGGAUUAAGCCAUCACAUUUCUGGUAUUUGAGAGUAGAUGUUGUAUUAGGUGAGGUGGAAGUGAUUGUAUUUUAUAUUUUGAAAGAGAUGUAAAAGAUGUACUUGAAUGUAUUAAGUCAAGAUGAUGUAAUAGUGCUCUUCUCUCUUGAAUGUAUUGUAUGUGUUCUAUAUGUAUCUUGCUCUCGUUGUUGAAUAGUGGUGCUUCUUGAAUCGUGUAUUUUAUGAAUUGGAAUACAUGCUGGUCAUUUCUAUAUACAUGAUGUUGGUUGCUUGGGGGGACAGGGGAGGUCUGUCGUUUGGACGUCUGUUCGAGCGCGGGCGGACAAAUUGGUAGCGAGAUCAGAGGGGUGACAAUACAGAGUAUCAGACAGCACCAGAGCAAGUAAGAGAGGUUCCGUAGGAUGACCUAGGAGACCUAGGUUGUGUAAACCUAAGGUUAUAGGCCAGUGAUAGUGAAGUUGAACCAUAGGCGUGAUGGCGGAGUUGUCGAUUGGGUCCCGAAGUUGAUGUAUGUCUCUAGUGUGAUAGAGACGGAAUAAGUCGGUAACUAGUUUAUCGGUCGUCAAAGUAGUGUGUGUGUCGGGCCGCCGACGACGCGAGUAGAGUCCAAAAACUGGAGCACUGAGAGACUUCGCCCGGAUUUUACUGUCGAGUCGUUUAAUUUUCAAGCAACGGUUGCCGAAGUUAUCGGAUUGAGAUAACUAAACGAAGUGUGCUUUUAGGAGGCAAAUGUCCCAAGGCUUAUGGGUAGGUCUGCUCGGGUACCGCUUCUGGGAGGGCCGAGCAGCCGGGAGACGGAGGAGGUGCGGGAGCUGCAUGGGGCAGGUCGAUGCAAUGUUAUUGGGCGCGGAACCUGCAGGCAGGAGGCUCGCGGAGAAGCUCAGGAAGGUUGUGGAGCGGCAUAGCAGCAGCAAUCAAAAGGGGGGAGCCGCCGCGACGGCCAGGCGAAGAUCGCGAUCCACCGCGCCUUCGGCACGACGCGGUUCGCCGGCGAGGGUGGGACAUAGCGGCGGUCACGAUGACGGACGGUUCACGCGACAGUUUGCGCCUUUCGAAGAUUCGGGUUCGGCGGCACGCUUGAUACGACCGGGCGAUGAAGUGGAGAGUGAUGCAGCUAACGGUGGUUAUAUGAGGUUUCAUGAAGUUUAAGCCACCAAUAUUUGAACGGCGGCGGAAGGUGGAGCGUCGGUGGUGGAGUCUUGCUAUACUUUUGUUGAGCACUCUUCGAGGAUUGUUACCCCGGAGAAAGAUAAAGGUGGCCAUCGCACCAUUUGCUCGACAAGGCGAGGAACGGUGUGGUGGAUGGGUUGAGCCGGGUCGACCCUCUGAUUCCGCAAUGCUCUGGGAGGAGUUCAGAAGAGAGAUGUUUAGGAAAUUACUCCCGAACGAGAUAAGCGGAAGCUAAAGGGAGUUUCGUAGUUGAGGCAGGGAGAUAGUUCAGGUGGCGACUAGAGCAGGAUUUUCCCACGUUAUAGAAUGAGGUCCGGACAGUGGUCAAGGGUGAUGCGGAUCGGCGAUGUGUUUUCUUGCGAGGAUUCGGUGCGAGCUGGAUUUUAUAGGGCGGUGCAUGUUCAAGCUUCCAAGAUUCGCGAGGUUUCAAACAAGGGGUUGUGGGGCGGAAGCAUGGAUGUACGCCACGUGCGGGAGGGAGUGAUUGUGACGGGUGCAAGACAAGAGGGAAGAACCGAUCGGGCUGCGGUAUCGGAUGUUGGAAAACUUUAGUUUCAAGGAGGCCCGAAGCUCGCGGUCGCGUGUGGGCGUGGGCACGCCAGCGUUGGACCUAUAUGUGGGAGAUCGAGGCUUCGGACCGCAAGUGUAUGGCAACGGCAAGGCGGUGCUUUAUUGGUGGAAGAAGACAUUAUUAGCCUGCCGAUGUCGGCAGGGCCUCGUCUACAACCGUCCGAUCAUCGGCUCCGCGCCCCGCCUUAUCUAUAGGGGCCAGCGCCCGUUGUUUCUUGUAUCGGGGACGGCACUGCGCGCGGCAGCGGAGGUUGAUUCGAUCAGGCGGUGACGGGUAUUCGCAGCUCAGCCUGCGAAGAGCUGACCCAAGCCGAGGAGUCUGAUGUUGGUGUGGCAGUGUAUGGUCUAUCAUGGAAGUUUGCUCCAGAGGUAUGUUCGAUAGAGUGGCCAAUUUAUUAAGGUAGCGGCAUUUAGCAGCGCGCUGAUGAAUACCAUGGAAGCAAGUGGCAGUGGCGAGAGUUUAGGAUGGAAGAGUCCAGUUGCAUUUAAACUAUACGGAUGUGCUCGUGCCCUGUCGGUAAUGCAAGGUGAGCAGUGAUUGGAUAAUUGCUACGGAUGUUGGACUCACUAAAGUCGGCAGCGUACGGUUUUUUAAGCGCAAUGGAUGGCUUCGAACAGUACUUAUGCCGAUCGAUUGUAAGAUAAUUGAUCAACUUUCGGGGAGCCGGACAGAAGGAGUUCGUAUUUCGAGCUGUAUGGCGUUCUUGCUUGCGUCGCGACAGCUAUGCAGGCGCGGAGAGUAGGAAGUUUAGUGUCAGCAGGCGGAUAUCAAUUAACUACAUAGCAAGAAAAAACAAUAAAAGUAACACAAUUGCGCGGCUUUUUUUGAGGCGACGGUCGUGGAGAGUGGCAGCGGAGUGGUACCAAGCUAGAAGAAUUUAUAGGUUGGUGCGGGAAAGUUCUAGAGGUAUUCCCACGGAGUGCGGCAGGGGAUGCCGGAUCGGGAGACUCCGACGUUUCGUUAUAGACUUGAUUCGGCAGACGCCGCUUUAUGUUACGUUUUAUCUCAAAGGCCCCCGGUAAGAUUAGUACUCCCGCGGGGCGCGCAAGAGUUUAGGAAAUUGGGAUGGGGUAUCAGGUAAAGAUUCUCGAAAAAAGGAUUUAAUCCAAUUUGCGCCAGAGGUAUUCGCCACCACACGUAUAGGAGCGUCGGUGUUGUUCGUGCGCAGAGGAAUGGCUAGUUUCGACUCUGGUGGAUUAUCGGAGCUUGAACUAAGGUCACCCAAUAACGAUAAGUACCCGGUUGCCGAAUCGAGACUUUGUUUGACAAUUACAAGGGGUCCGGUGUACUCGAAGGUAGUUUUUUCAUCCGGCUACAAUAGUUAUUUAAGAUCGCGUGUAACAUGUGAAGGAUAUUCAGAGACCGCGUUUCGCACGCGUUCAUGGACCAUUAUGGUACACGGUUAUGAUCAUUUGGGCUCACAAUGCCUAAGCGAUUCAUGGGACUGAUGAAGCUAUAGAUGGUGUUCAAGGUGCUUGGACGAUUUUGCGUGAGUUUCAUAGCAGACAUCUUGUUACAAGAAUUACUAGAUUCGAGGAAGACGGCGAAGGAGCACCGCGGAGCAUUGGAACGGUGCUUCAAUCUUGGCGAGGAGAGGACUAAUUUUCCGCAAAGUAAAGAAGUGUUUUCUGGCUUCCGAGACGCUUAGCACUUCUUGGGGAUCGUGACUUUCGAGUGCGGCUGUUUAAAUGUUCGGUCUGACCCGAGGAAGUCGAAAGACAGCCGAAUUUGGCGCAGCGAACGAUCACGGAGGUCGAAGUCUAUUUUGUGAGCUCUUAGCGGGAUAUUAUCCCGACGGUAUGUGCGAGGGCUUUUCGAAGAUUUGUAAACUCCACAUUUACGGGUCUUGACUCAAAGAGGGUAAGUUUAUUUGAGGCGACGAAUGUGACAAAGCUUCAAUGAGUUGAAGAAGAUGACGUCCGCUCCGUACUCGCCUUACCGGUCGGUGCAGCAGGCCUGAGCUUUGAUGGUUUAUAGUGACGCAUCCUACUGGAAUAGGCAGACCCUGUGUCUGAUGCAGGCGGGCCACGAGUGGUUAGAUAGAUUAUGCAAUCGUAUGACCUAAAGGACUACGAGAAGAUUCAAUCCAUGAUUGGAAUUUGGCGGGCCAGGAUGUUGAAUGUACAUUCGCGUUUGAAGUGUGGGAGGCAUACUUGUCCGGUUCACACUUGCGAAGAUUCUACACGAACCAAAAAAGUUGAAGUAAUCUGUUUACCAGAGGAGUAAAAAUGCACGAGCCAAACACACAAUCCACCCACCGGCGACCAGCAGCGGUGAGUAUAGAUAUUUAAAGGAUUAUGGAUGUUCGAUUUCUCUUUCCACCCGGCAAGCAGAAAUGUGGUCCGAAGACGCAUUAGCAGCAGAAGUCGGAGAAGAACCUCGCGUAUUUGCAGAGUCUAACGCAGAAAACACCCCCGCUAGGGCUGAGAUUGACUGAGCGACUGGACCUUCUGCACCGUGGAUCGCUCUCGAGAGUCGCCGCCAGCUCGAUGACCGCGUAGUUAUUCACCAGACUUAUUGGAGAAGGAUUAAGAGCUGCAACUGCGAUCCAGUCUCCAAAAGGUGCGGCGCUGCAUAUUCGGGCUGGACGACAGAUGGCGAUUUCAGUGUGGAUUUGCCGGCCCCCUCUCCUGGCGCCGCUCCCCCCCUUUUUCCCAGACCCCCGGUUGUGUGGUGCUCGGAUGAAAGUUCGCGAGUUGAUAUAUGCAGGAAGACACCCACACGGUCCUCUUCUCAUUGAUCAACAAUAUUUUCCUUAAAAUCAAAGGUUAAAAUAGUUUGUUUAAAUUUUAAAUACCAUUGUCGGGAGGCCUGCUUUAGUCCAUAUAUUGAUUUCUUUAAUUUGCAUACCAAAUGCUCCUUUCCCUUUUGCUAGAAUCCUUCAGGUUGAUUCAUAUACACCUCUUCAUACAGAUCCCCAUUUUAAAAAGCAGUUUUGACAUCCAUCUGAUGUAGCUCGAGAUCAAAAUGAGCAACCAGAGCCAUAAUAAUACGGAAAGAUUCCUUUCUAGAUACUGGAGAGAAAGUCUCUUUAUAGUCAAUGCCUUCUUUCUUAGUGGACCCUUUUGCCACAAAUCGGGCCUUAUAUCUCUCUAUGUUACCUUUGGAGUCCUAUUUAAUUUUAUAAACCCAUUUGCAUCCUACAGGUUUAACUCCAAUAGGUAACUCAACAAGAUCCCAUACCUUAUUGUGGUUCAUGGAUUCAAUCUCAUCCUUCAUGGCAUUGUAUCAUUCCGUAGAAUUAUUACUAUUUAUGGCUUCGGAAAAAUUAAGAGGAUCAUCUAAACUCUGGCCAUUCUCAUAGAGAUAGACAAUAUAAUCACUGGAUAUAGCCGGUCUUUUCUGUCUUGAGGAUCUUUUUAAAUCUAUCUGAUUAUCCACAUGUAUAUCUUGAUGUGGAUUAUUCACUUGUACAUCUUGAUGUGAAUUAUCAAUGAUAGGUUCACAAUGAUUUUGUGGUUCCAAAACAACUUGUUAUUCUACUGAAAUAGGAACCAACAAAUCGUGAGGGACAACCGUGGGUCUAUCAUGUACAGAAUCCGAAUGCUCCUGAAUUUCCUCAAAUUCAAUGAAUCGAGGUUCAGAGCUCCCACUAAUUGUACUAUCCUUAAUAAACCGAGCUGUUUUAAUUUCUGCAAUCUUUAUAGGAAGUUACGGACAGUAAAACUUAUACCCUUUGGACCUUUCCGAAUAACCAAUAAAAUAUCCUGAUAUGGUUCUAAGGUCCAAUUUCUUUAUUUGUGGAUCAUACAACUUGGCCUCAGCUUGACAACCCCAUGUAUGAAAAUGUCUUAAAUUGGGUUUCCUACCUGUCCGAAGCUCAAAAGGAGUCUUAGUGACAGCCUUAGUAAGGACCCGAUUAAGAAUAUACAUGGCAGUUUUGAGUGCCUCACUCCACAAUGAUAUCGGAAGGGUAGAAUUACUGAUCAUACUCCUGAGCAUAUCAAUUAAUGUGUGAUUCCUUCUUUCAGCAACACCAUUCUGAUUAGGUCUCCCUGGCAUGGUGUACUGUGGAACAAUUCCGUACUGCUUCAGAAACUUACCAAAAGGCCCAGGGAUUUGGUCUUUAUAUGUUUAUCUACCAAAAUAUUCAUCACCCCUAUCUGAUCUGACUACUUUUAUCCUUUUCUCGAGUUGAUACUCUACUUCAGCUUUAUAUGCCUUAAAGGCAUCUAAUGCUUUAGAAUUUUUUUUUUUUUUUUUUAAGCAAGUAGAGAUCGCCAUAUCGAGAGUAGUCAUCAGUAAAUGUGAUAAAAUAUUUAUGGCCAGUAAUUGAUAGAGGAAGAGGUCUGCAUAUAUCGGGAUGAAUCAACUCUAAUGUUCCAUCACAUCUUUUAGCACCUUUAGAGGAAGUUUUGGUCUGCUUUCCCUUUAUGCAGUCCACACAUAUUCCAAAGUCAGAGAAGUCCAAAUCAUCUAAAAUGCCUUCUCUGAUUAAUCUUUGGAUUCUCUGUUUUGAGAUGUGUCCUAACCUCUUAUGCCACAACAUGGAUGACUUUUCAUUAUUAAUGCCACGUUUUGAUCCAACAUUUUCGUGCAUGAUAAGAAGGAUUUCACUAAAUGAAUCAUCUAAAAAUACUUUAUAUAGAUUAUUUUCUAAAACACCAGAGUCAACUAUCUGAGAUUUAUAAGAUAAGGAAAAAACUUUAUUAUUAAAACUGAAACUAUAUCCCAAUCCAACAAGUUUCGAAAUAGAAAUUAAAUUCUUAGAAAAAUUUGGAAUAUAUAAUGUAUCUUCUAAAUCCAAAAUAUGAUCAGUAGAAAGAACUAAUCUAAAAGUUCUAGUAAAUUCUAUUUUAGUUGGAUUUCCUUCAGCUGUAUAGAUAGUCGCUUCAACUUUACUGGAUUUUCUCCGAUUCUGAAACCCCUGCACGGAAUUCGCCACAUGGCAUGUGGCACCAGAGUCAAUCCACCAAGUAUUAGACGGAACUGAAACUAAAUGCAACUCAUGCAUCAAAACCAGAAAUUUAUCUUUCUUCUGGAGCCAUUUCUGAUAUUUUUGGCAGUCCUUCUUUAUAUGACCCUUUUUCUUACAAAAGAAGCACUUUGGAGUCCAAUUACUUGAUUGGCCUUGUGAACCAGAUGGAACUUCCUUAUUCUUUCUUUUUGAGUCAUUCUUGCCCUUACCAUUCUUUGCACGCUUUAUUUGUCUCUUUUGAGAAACAAAGUUGACUGCAUUUUGUUUCUCUUGUAUCAAUCUGCCUUCCUCUUGCACACACAUGGUCAGCAUGUCACGCCCCGGGACCCAGCGGAAGCCCGCCCGGCGCGUGCCCAGACCCGCCAUACGUCUAAAACGUAUAAGGCGUCUAAAAACAACAAUAAUAAAAGCAAUAAUACAAGACAUCUAGGAGUAUCUGAGCAUAAUAAAUGUCUAAAUGCUACAACAAGGGAUAAGGAUAAAACUGUAAAUCCACUAAAUAAAACAUAAAGUGAUACAAGAAAAUCCCAGAUACAAGUGCUAUAGAUAGAUACAUAGGUGGUCUCUAUACAUGGAUACAAAAACUCUCACUUUCUCUCAACUACAAAAGGAAAGAGUAAACCACCUAGGCAGAGUACCGCUCCUCGCUAGCUAGCUAAGCCAUCCCCUUGCCGCGAUCCCGUGCCUCCGCCGGCGCAGAAGGCUCUGAAAAGGAAACCAUAAAAUAGGGGCGUGAGAACUAUUAAAAAUAGUUCCCAGUGGGCAAUUACUGACUUCAGUGAAUGCACCACAAGGCCCAAAGCUACAAAAGAUGUCAGUGACUAUAAAAGUAGAAAAGCGAAAGGGAAGUAGAAAUGAUGUAACCUACUACAACAUGAUAUCUCUACUUAGCGUAAUUAGCAUAAGUAUGAAGCAACUAUGCAUGAAGUAAAAGUCUCCAACUAUCAUAAUGUUCACAAUGCGAAAUAGUAAAGUUCCGUUGUUUACUGUUCUAGUCAAUGUCCAAGUAAUACUACUCUAAGUCAUCAUCUGUCCACAUGUCAUAAUGAAUACUCAAGUCAAAUCUGACGAGACCCACCCGAAAGCUGUCUAUGGCCCUGAGACCCACCCGUAGGCUGUCUGGCCGGUGCCGAGCCUAAUGGCCUGUGAACAUCCACCUAGAAUGAGCUGGCACGGCAAUACGCACUCGGACCCGCCAAUCAGAGCACGCCGAAUAUGAAUCGCGAAUGGCUAUUUCUCCGAGUGCGGCUUGUAGCGGAGGCCCUCAAAGCAUGUGCGAAUGAGCACAAUGGCAAGUAGUUCACGAUCUGUCGCAAGUACCAAGUCCUCAUAUCUAAUAACAUGGAAUGUAACAUCGAAUGUCCCAAGGGCUAUCUCUAUCGUCAUCAUGUCUUACAGUGAAUACUAAUAGCAGAUGUACAAUGGCCUAUCUUCAUGUCUUCUAAGUUGCAUUUAUAGUUUACAAAUUCAAGUGCUCUUUAUGACAUUUGUUCAUGAGUCCCAAGCAUGCAUAAUAUGUUCAUGAUGCAUGUUCACUCAAUUCUAGCAUUGGAGACAUGUUCCAACUGCGAAACCAAGACCCACUAUCCACAAUGCAUGCAAUCUUUACACAUAUAGCUUCUAGCUAUAUGGGGUACAAAAUUUUACGAUACAUGAGGCUGCAUUGUUAAGUGUUUAUAAAACUUCAUAUAAUCCAAUUUAGCAUGAAUUUUGCAUUCAAAAAUCUUUACAAAAGGUUAGAAGGCAUGGGGCAUUUUGCCCCAUUUUCAUUGAAGUCAGAACCACCAAAAAUCGACUUCUUCGUUUCGCCGAACGAAGUAUCCACAGCCUCCCCUGUACCCUGAAACAUCAAAAAAAUAGGGUCACCCAAACGAAACGAAGAGCAAAUAGCUCAAUCAUUAAGCUCCUCAAGCUAGGGUUGGAGAAAACUUACCGAUUGCGAAGAAGGCUCUCACGAUCUCCAAAUGGGAGUUAGAGUCCUUCCAAUCUAACCUAAACAAAGGUUCCAAACCCAUCAAUUUGGCUCCAAAGCCCCCAAAUUCAAAAACCCCCAAAAUAAACCCUAAAUCCCAAAAUCUAGGGUUUCAUCUAGAAAAACCUAGGAAAACAAGUAUCAAAUGGGGAUUAUAAGCUACCAACCUCAAGAGAAGCCCCAAUCCAAGCUCAAAACCAAGUAGGGUUGAAGUUUGAUCCUCCACAAAGCUCCAACCGCAAGCUCCAAGCCUCCAAAGGUGGGAAAUGAGGAAGAAGAUGGUGCUCCAAGGCCUCCAAGCAAGCUCUUCUCCUCUCCCUCUCCUUCUUCUCCUUCCCUUUCUCUCUCUAGAAGUGUAGGAAGAGUGUGAGGGAGAGAAAAUGAGAGUGAGAGGGGAGGAGAGGCUGCUUAUAGCCUCUAAAGUAACAAAAUCCACAUAGGCCCCUCAAAAACUCAAAUUUACAUCAGCCCGGUCUGGGCAGUUUUCGCCCAGAGGGACCGGUCUUCCCGACCUGGGACCGGUCUCUCAACCUGCCCCCGAAAAUCCAACGUUCGGGAACCGGUCUCUCCCCACGCAGACGCGCUCGGGGACCGGUCUCAACUGCCAGGGACCGGUUGCCUCGCCGGCUACGCAGCACUGUUCACUGGGGGACCGGUCUCUCCUAUCAGGGACCGGUCCCCGAGAGUAAAACUCUCAGGACUCAGCCAAAACUCUCGAGAUCGAACUUUUAGGCCGGUAUGCCAUCGACGGCCCUCCACCAAGUGUGGAAAAGUUCGGAAUACAAAUCGAACACUCGAACCUCGCAAUUUGCAAAGGUCCAGUGUGCUACACAGCAAUUCAUUAAUUGACCAUUUAUCUUUAUGUGUGUUAUAAGAGAUCUGAAAUGGUCCGUAUUCAGAUGGCAAAGAGUUCAAAUAAAGUGCACUAAGAAUGAAUCAGAGAUGGUUACUUCAAGUGCGGUGAGUUGCUGUCACGCCCCGGAGCCGAUACCAAUUUGGGCCGGCCCGAGCACGUCGAACAGACGCCGAACGGACAGAGUUUCCCCUAUCCGCCCAAGGCUCAUCACGUGUACAAUUUCAUGAGAAUUAAAAUGCGCUAGCGGAAACAUGCACAAACGGCUUACACGAGGGUAAGCAAUAACCAUUAGUGAAAGAAAGGAAAACUAAACAUUCAACUAGUACUAUGAUUCAUUUUGAUCACAUACGUUGUAUCUAUCCAACUUGUACAUCCAAAAUCUUUACAUUCUUUCAUCAUUUCUUUUACAUCACAUUUACCUCAAAAUGAACAUUACAUUCUUUUCUUUACUUUGCUUUACACAUCAACAUCUUAAAUCAUCAAAUACAAAGAUGAUAAAAGGGGUAAACUACUAACAAAAUGUAACCGAACUCCGGUGGCCUCUGACUACGGUGCGAUACCUUUACCGCGGUCGCUCGCCGGCUCGCUCGGUCCCGGCUCUGUGGAAUAGUGGGGUGAGAACUACAACAAAGUUCCCAGUGGGUUCGGCCCCAACAUCACCGACUUUCCCACUAGGACUAACUCAGGCAUAAUAGAAAGAAUAAGCUGAAAUAUAGUAACCAAUCUACAACAUGAUGCUAAUAUGCCUGAACAAUAAGCAAGGAAUAUGCUAAACAUUAACAUAUGCAGAUUAUACAAGUUCUUUCGUUCUUUAUCACUUUGUUCUUUAUUCUUUGCUCUUUGUUCUUUAUUCUUUAUUCUUUAAUCUCAAGGCUAACCCGGGGGUUUCGCUACAUUAAACUUGCUUCACAUUAAGUCUAUCAUCGCAGGAACUCACCCGCUAGGACCGUCCUUACGGGUUUACUCCAACCCGGAUGCAUAACUCCGGAGCGCAUCGCCCGAGGGGGAGCGACCGCCCUCGAGCACGGAACUCAUAGCAAGCAUGAUCGAAAUCCUUAACUCAAAGGAUUGUAUGUUCAAUCUUGACUUUACACUAACUCUAGUGUUCAUUACAUCACUUUAUGUUGCCACUCUAGCAAUCAUUGCUCUUUGCAUUUCUUUUACUUUUGCUAACUCUAGCAAUCACAUUCUUUAGCUUUACACGUUCUUUAUUGCUCUCUUUGCUUUAGCUUUAGUGAUCGUCAUCAUUCUUUAUAUCACUUCGAUUCUUUGCUUCACACUAACUCUAGUGUCACUUUACUUUACAUUAUUUAGAUGCCACUCGAUCUAUGUCACAGUGUCACUCUGUUCUUUUGCUCACUUUGGGUGCUCACAUUUUCUCUCAUGCAUACAUCUAGGGUUUUGACAUUAUUAGGUUCUCAACCAUCUCAUUAUGCAAGUUGUGCUCACAAUCAUGCAAUCAUCACAUUUCAUCAUUACUUUACCCUAAAAUGCAUGCAACAAUAUAUAGAACAUAUGCUCAAAGAAUGACACAUUAGGCAUAGAGAGAAUUUCAAUGAGUUUGGAAAGCACCACCCACCUCGUAGGUCCUCUAAGGUGCUAUGAUGAAUUUCUCGGGAUUUUUAGCCGCUCGGUUCGCUACCUGCGACACUCGGCACCCGCUAAGGGCCCAAUCUCACAGUUGCGCUACAAGAGCGUCCGCUUCGCAGUUUUAAGUGUAGAAGCUCUUCGGCAUGCUACUACGAUGCUUCAGAUCCGACCUCAUGAUUUUUGGAAGUCGCCUCGGCCUUCCAGGCGGAAACGAAGCCUAAACGUCCGUUUCUUUAAUAACUUUGUAACGGCUCGACGAAUCGCCGAACUGACUUUGCCAACGCGUUCGUUUACCUAGCAAUUAGGUUUACGGAGGGUCAAAUGAGAUCAAACCCUACUAUUUUACAAAAUUCCAUUUUUGAGCCUUAAGAUACACUAUUGCAAGAAUUCAUCAUAUGAUCCCUUAAUUCAUGCAAUAGUUAUCCAUUUAGCAUCUAAGGAUUCCUCUAAAUCCAUUCUUAGAGCAUAUAAUUAAAGCUCUUAAGAUCUAUCAUUAUAAACCUAGCCUCUACACAUGCUCCAAUUAACCCAAAUUAAAUGGAUUUAACAUGCUAAUCAACACAUUAGAGGCUAUUGGAACACUAAGCACUAAGGAUUAAACCAAAUCCUAGCUUAAAUUAUGAGAUCUCACCUUAGACCACCAUUCACAUCAAGCUAAAUCUACUAUUGGAAAGCUUGCUUCCACCAUUAGAGAGAGCUUCAACUUCAAGCUACUCUAAUCUUCUCCAAGCUUGCCUCAAUCUUUCUUUCUUUUCUUUUCCAAUCCUCUCUUUGGUGUAGAGAGAGAUUUUUCUCUUUGAUUGUGAGUGUGAAUAAUGAGAGGAAAGAAAGCCCAAGUCCUAUAUAUACAUAGAGAGGAAACUUGCUCUCCAAGUUUCCUAUGAAGCUUCCAAAAAUACUAUUCACUCCAGGCAACUUAAAAUCUGAUAUCUUUCGCCGGAGCUUUCAGAGUAUCCAUUUGAGCUCAAAUUUGACAGUCAUAUUCGGUUUAACGUACUGAACAAGAAUAUACUUUAAGUUUUCAGUUUCGACCCCGUUUGGUCACCGAAAACUGUACCGAACUGUAAUCUUUAUCAGAUAGAUUUCAGAUUUUAUUUCUCAACUUUCGGGUGUCAGAAAAAUAUGAAACUUUAAAUCUAGCCUCAUGAAAAUAUUUCUGACUUAUCCUCCAAUUUUCAUAAUUUUCUGAGACUCUAUAUUUUUUGCUAAUUUAUCUGUCUCGUUUUUAACAGAAAAUUAUAAAUUUUCUGUUUUCAUUCCGAUUUCAGCACAAGUCAUUAUAGACUUAUACUUUGUUUCUCAAAAACCAAAUAAAAAUAGUAUCUCACACUAUUUUUAUUUACUUUUAUUUUUAUACCAAAAUCUGGUAUAUUACAGUUGCGCUGCAAUAUCUCGCUUUCCAUAAUAUGCUCACGAAUCGAGCCAUUUCCGGAGUACUUCAUGGAAGACAGUUUAUUCAUUAAGGUGCUCGCCAAGGCUUUAUCGGAGCUGACAAACUGCUCCUCAAUAGCCUUUAGAUAAUCCUUGGCUUUGUUACAUUCUGGGAUUGAUCCCCUUAUGCUUUUUGAUACCCUUGACUUUAUGAGCAUCAAACUUAAGCGGUUGGAUCGCUCACACUUUUUCUGUGCGAAUUCCUGCUGUGGACUCAUUAGCCCCAUUAUCUUAGGCGGUUGUUCAGCGCGCAGAGCCAAAUCUAAAUCCAUAUAGCCCAAAAUGAACAUAAUCUGUUCUUUCCACUCCGAAUAAUUAGAACCAUUAAGUAUAGGAACAUAUUCACCAAUAGGAACAGAAAAUGGAGUCAUAAAAUGCAUGCUUUAUCAAUAAAAUACCACAUCAUAAAUUACCACACCAAAAUUAAAAAAAUACACUUUAUAUGACAUCACAACCCCUCCUUUGGAAGCAGAGUUAUGAGCAUAAGUAUUUUUCGUUCUUUAUGCAUAUGCUUUAUAUGACAUCACAACCCCUCCUUUGGGAGCAGAGUUAUGAGCAUAAAUAUGCAAUCUCUUUAUCAGAGACUAAUUUAAACCUUUUGUAGGUCUUGAUAAUUUCAAAUUUCUCAUAAGAAGAAAUUGUCAGCUUUGGCAAGGCAAAUUUCUCCAAACGAGUUAUAAGAAAAUUACCAUCCUACACCACCCAUAUACCUUCAUGUCUAGACCUCCUUUGGGAGCAGACUAAACAUAAUAUUAGGGUGCAAUUUCUGCAUGCACAUCUUUAAAACAAUUAAUUUAUCUUUUCUUCCGAACGGGGCCGCUUUGGCUUGCACCCGAACAGUUAAAACAAUAAAUUAAUCUGACUUAGUGCUGCAUGAUUAACAUGAAAGUUAUCCGGAAGCACUACUUUAAAGUAAAAUAAAUUAUUAUUUCUUUUAAUUAGGGCCGCUUUGGCUUGCACCUAACUAAUCAAAAUAAUAAAUUAAUUCAACUUAGCGCCAAUAUUAAAUAAUCAAAAACAAAUAUGAUUAUUUAAAUUUUUCAUGUUUAUCCGGUCGAAAUAAGAAUAUGGUUGCGAUAAUUUAAAACAUAAUAUCGCAAUUAAAUUUUAAACUUUAUAUAUUCUAAUUUGACCACAAACAAAUUUAUGAUAAAUUAAUAUUGUAUGCAAGAUUAAAUCUUUAUGUGAACGGAUUCUUUAUGUUCACGAAACUUUAAAAAGCAAGAGGAUCAAAUAUAUAAAAAAAAGGUUAAAUAAUAAUAAUAAAAAAAAAUUCCAAAAGCAGCCAUGACGGAAUCGACAUGUCAUGAUAGGCUGAAUUUGAAACGGGACAAAAUUCAAACUUUUCCCAUAUAAUUGACCCAGUCAAUACGAUUAUGAAAAACCAUGUUUAAAUACAAAACCGCGGAACAUACACGUGCUCAUAGCGGUUAAAUCCAAUCCAUGUAGCAGCCAAGCGACAUGCAACUCUUCAAUACCUUAUUAACCCAAUCUCUCAAGGGUUAGAGAAGCACCAUGCAUUAUCAGGACAUCGCCACAACACCGCAUCAUGAGCACGCGGCAUGAUUUUCAAAACGUUGCCAACCAUAAUUUAAUUUGCACACAAAUUAAAUUCAUAUAACAUGCAAGAUAUAUAAAAUCCAAAGACUAGUCAAUAUGCAACACCCUAUGUGCAAUGUGACGACGUUACAUCACCUUAAUUAGGAUCGAGAAUGUAAAACCCCUUAUUUUUAUUUUUAUUUUUUUAAUCUAAAAUUCAUCAUAAUUUGAUCCAAUUACUUAAUGCAUACAAAAUUUAAUUUAUCAAUCUAGCUCUGAUACCAAUUAAUGGAAUCUCAAGGUAUGUAAAACAAAACCAAAAUUAAUACAUACCAAAAUUCAGGAUCAAAACAAAAAUUAUAAGAUAACUCACAGAGCGUCAUAGAUAAGAAAUUCUUGAUCAAUCUUGCGGAAGCUGGAAGUCCGGCUACGAUCUGAGAGUCACGAACCGAACUUGGGUGAUUUGGUUUCUCUCUCUAUCUCAGGCACUCUACCGUAUGGUGUGGAACCGAUGGUAAUUCUUCACCAGAAUGCGUAUGAGAAGGUGGCAGGACCAAUACCCUUUUAUAUAGAGUCCAGAUCGACUUCCCAUCAAAGUCUGAUUAGGAUUCUAUUUAAAUUUAAAAUAGAUGGGAUAGCAAUAAAAUAUACCAUAUCAAAUAGUUCUAUAUCUGUUAGGAUUGACCUUUAUCUAUAGAAAUCCAGAUUUGAAUAUAAUUAAUUGGGCCACAAUAUAUAUAUGGAAAUCCUAACAUGUAAGUGUAGCAAUAUUGUAUUACAACUAACUCUCUUUGGUCCUCAAACAAUGAGGUGUAUGACACUUUAAUUCUCAAACUUUAAUUCAUUGUAAUUUCUAUAUCAAAUUAUGAGGCGCAUGAUAUUUUGGUCCUGGAACUUUAAUUAGUUGUAAUAUUUAGCUCGAACUAUAAGGCACAUAACACUUCAAUUCUCGAACUUUCCGAAUUAUUGAAAUCAAGUCUAACAACCAAUUUUUUUUUGAAUAAGUAUGGAUAGCUUACUAAUAUCAAUAUGUCAUUUUAAUUAUUGUUACACCAUCAAAUUGAAUAUUGCUAUAAUUCAUAAAGUUUAAGAGUUAAAAUGUCAAAGACGUCAUAGUUCGCGUAUACAUUGCAUGCAACUAAUUAAAAUUUCAGAACUAAAGGAUCACACGCCUCAUAGUUUGGGGACAAAAAAUAUAAUUUAUCUAAAAAAAGAUCAAAUGCAAUUCCAAUGGUAAGUGUCCUUUCUAAAAUAGGCUACACGCCGACUAAAUUACUAUUUUAUCCCAAAUUUUUGUUUAUCAUUAGAGCAACGUUACUGAGAUAUUAUAAAAUGUAAUGUACAGUUUACAUUCUCUUUAUCUAAAAAACAUAGUUCCUACUUGUCACAUUAAUUUUUUAAAAUUAAAAAUUAUUUGAAUUUUUCUUUUUCUUUUUUUUUUUGAGAGACAGGUAGCACGCUAUCCGCUUCGUUUAUUUUAUUUAGAAAUAAACUUAGCUGGAAAUAUGAAUCAAUUAGAAUACGAACUUGGGUCUUGAGUACCAACCACCAAAUCCCUUGCCACUUGCUCUAGGGACGGUUGGUAUUAUUUGAAAUUUUCUAAAAUCUAAAUGAAGGGUACAAGAUCUAUACUCCUUUUGAGGUCUACAAUUAGAAUUUCUGCUCUCACUAUGAGCAAUGCUACUGCUUCCGUUAAUAGUCAAUAAUUAAUUAAAAUGUUUUUUAAUUAUAUAUCACGAUUCAAAUUAAUUUCUUGUUCUGGAGAAACCAAAUAAAACUUUGUUGAAAUUUCCUGUCGGAUGCUGGUAAACAUAUCAAAAAAAAAAAAAAAAAAACUGACUAAUCUCAAAAAAUUGCAAAUGUUCUUACAUAAUAUGAAAUUAUCUAAAAACAAAAAGUGAUACGGAUAAAAAUGUAAGGACACCCCUUAGCCAUGUAUGAAAAAGGCCCUCAAACUUUAUUAUUUUUCAAUAAAAUACUUCUAUUUUUAUUUAUUCUGAUUUGACUUAUCUUUAUUAGUUCUUUAUUGUAGAACGAAGCGGGAAAUAUUCGUUCGUACCUUUUUGCGGAAGCGAUUCGCGUUAGAACGCGACAAGCCCGGAUCGUAGAGGUUGAUUCACGUGUCCUCGGAUCGUCCUUGAAGGUCUUUUAACGCUCCAAACUCGCGGAGAAUCGAACUACAAAUGAGCACGAUCGCAAAUCCACCGUUCAAGACCCUCUAGAAUAAUAAUGGAGGAUGUGGUUUCUACGUUUUUUUCUUAGUUUUCUUGUUAUCUUUCUUAUUAAUUUUAUGUGAGAUCGCCCGCAUAUUUAUAAGGUAUUCCAAAAUACUAACAGGUGCGUAAGAGAUAAGGCUAAAUUGGUUAUUAAUUGUUAUUCUAAUAUGAUUAGAAUUUAUUUCUAAAUAGCUUUUUAAUUUAAAAACGAGAUUAAUCCUAAUCCAAUUAGACAACAUAAUAACUGCCGGAUCGAGCCCAAUCAUGGGCGCACCCGAUUCGAUCUAACCGAAUGCCAACAGUUAUCAACCUCUCGUGGUUUGAUAAGUUAGCAACAAACUUGCCUCUAGUGCUCUGGAGCUCAUGUCACGCCCCAGUCCCCGCUAAUUUGGUCGGGUUCGGGCCACGUCAACAGACGCCGAACGGACAGAGCCUACUGUCACGCCCCAGGCCCCGCCUAUUUGGCCGAGUUCGGGCGCGUCGACAGACAGCCGAACGGAUAGAGUUUUCCCUGUACGUUCUAGGCGUCGCAAUUAAUACAAUGAACAUUACAAGGGUUCCAACCAAGAACAGAUAUCAAUUAUGAUUGCAUAAGGAAAGUAUCACAACAUAACACAUCCUAUGCUAUUACAUGCUGUCACGCCCGGGUACCAGCGGAAGCAUAUCCGGUACGUGUACAGACCCGCCAUACACCUGCAGUAUAUAAGGCGUCUACGAAGAAAGCAAGUCGAUAGGAAGUAAAACAAAGAAAGUCCUAUCCUGAUAUCAGAGCAAUGUACAAAUCGACAAUACUAUCAGCAAAAGAACAAUCCAAAAUCUCGACAGAAGAGAAGUAUCAUAACUGUAGUUCACGGUCCAAAGAGUACAUAUACAUCACGGGUAUACAAAAAUAGGAUAGAUACAAUGGUGGUUUCUCUAUACAAAGGGACAUCACCCUCGGUCGUAGCCCGAGUAGCAAGGUGAUCGACUAGUAUGCUCCUAGCAAUGUCUAGCUAGACGCGACUCCCUUGCCACGAUCCCUAGCCUCUCCUGUAGAUGGCUCUGUAAAAACAACCACCAAAAGGGUGUGAGAACUAUUAACAAUAGUUCCCAGUGGGUAAGCCGCCAGCCUCGGCGAAUUACACCACUAGGCUCAUGAUAUACUGAAAGUAAGUGAAAGCAAUAAAUGCAGGAUAUAGAAAUAUGCGAUGCUAACCGGGUACAGGCAUGUAUUCAACAUGUAAACAUGAUUUCUGCAGUAAUGAAUCAACUGAAUAAUAGAAGUAUCACAACUACUAUAAACAUGAACAUAAAUAUAAUCAUUGAAGUGUAAGUACUACUGUACACUACCACUGGUACUUAUUCAUUACUAUCAUUAUCAUGUUCACUUUCAUUUUCAUUCACUAGGACCUACUUAAGGUAGUCCAGCUUGCGCCGCGCCUAAUGGUCCCGUGGUAGUAUACACUCCCCACGGCAAUCCACUUCGGCACCCAAUCCCGCACGGGCGAGCAACUGUCGCGUAGGCCAACUCCGGAGUGCCGGCUUGUAGGGAGCUACCCUCACAAGCGUGUGCGAAUGAGCACGAUGGCAAGCAAGUAAAAUCCAUUAUCCACAUGUCACAAUUUUCAUACUUUCAUUGCAAAGUUCUUACCCUCGAUCCUCUGAUCGGAAUUUCAAUACACAAAUAAUAACAAGAGCUAGUAUCCACUAGAUUGUAACAUGUAAGAGUAAAGCUAAAUCACCUGGCAUAAUAAUCUCUCCACAAGUAUGGCUGUCACGCCCCGCCCCGAAUCCACUACCAAUUUGGCACGGUUCGGGCACAUCAGACGGACCGCCGAACGGACAGUAC
rnacentral:lncRNA from 1 species